GAUGUCAAUAGAACUCUUAGCACUGCAAAGCUUCGGCACCUAUCUAUCUCAAACAAGGCAGUAGGGCAUGACACUUUGCAAACACAAGCCUUGCUUAGAACAUUAAUGUUAUUCGGAAGCAGCACCACUGUUGAGUUGAAGGAUAUGUUGAACAACCUUUCUUGCCUAAGAGUACUACGUCUGAUAGAAGUAGAUCUAGUUGAGCUGCCAGACUCCAUAUGCCACCUCAAACAUUUAAGAUCCUUGUGUCUUUCUGGCACAAGCAUAUCCACAAUUCCUCAAGGCAUAGGAGAUCUAAAAUUUCUACAAUCUAUUGACCUUGAUGGGUGUGCAAAUAUUCAUCAACUUCCUAACAGCAUCCUAAAGCUGCGGAAGCUAAGGUCACUCAACUUGAGCGACACGGCAAUCACUUCAAUUCCUCGUGGCUUGGGAAAACUAGAAGAUUUGUUCCACAUAAGCGGGUUUCCAACACAUUAUUCAGAUGAGAGCACAGGUGGCUGGUGCAGCUUAGAAGAACUCAGACCUCUGUCGAAGCUCCAACGCCUUAAAAUAAGUUGUCUGGAGAAGGCACCUUCCGGUUCUAUGGCUGCUAAAGCAAACCUUAGCAGUAAACAUCACCUGAAAUGGUUAUAUUUGGAAUUUACCAGCAGGCUAGGAGACAACGGGGAGGUCGAAGGCAACAUUAGCGAGGAGGAACACAGGAGAACAGAGGAGGUGCUGGAUAAUUUGUGUCCUCCAACUUGCAUGGAAGAACUUGAUAUCACAGGCUACUUUGCACGUGGGCUACCGCAGUGGAUGAGAACCAUGUCAGCCUUUGGGAGCUUAAGGCGGUUGCAGCUAGAUGACUACGCAUGCUGCACGCAUCUACCUAAUGGAUUGGGGCAGCUCCCCUUUCUUGAUUAUUUUUGGGUCGAUCGUGCUCCGUCUGUCCAGUGCGUUGGGCACGAUUUCCUCUUCCCCUCCUUGGGUGGUCAAGCCGAUGGCAAAGUAACACGGAACAAUAAGAGGCAGCCUCAUCAUACUUCGCGUGGUGCUGGUGUUGCUUUUCCCAAGCUGAUAACAUUGGGUUUUGUAGGCAUGCUGGGAUGGAUAGAGUGGGAGUGGGAGCAGCACGUCCUAGCGAUGCCUGCACUAGAGGAGCUUACAAUCAGAAACUGCAAACUGCAACGCCUUCCUGCAGGGCUUGCACAACAUGCAUGCCGGUUGAGACAGUUGAGCCUGACAGAUGUCCAGCACUUGGUCUCUGUGGAUAACUUCCCUUCACUAGUCAAGCUUCGGUCAUAUGACAACCCAAGGCUGGAGAGGAUCAGCAACAACCCAAGCUUGCAAUUGAUUGACAUUAGCUAUUGCCGAGCACUAAAGGAAUUGGAUCGUUUGCCAUCCCUUCGAAGCCUCCUGUGGUGGGAUUUGCGUGCUGAAGCACUCCCAAAAUACUUGCGAGAGGCAACGCUAAAGAAAUUGCGUGUAGAUUGUAGCCGAAGUUUGCUCAAACUGAUAGCACUACAAGAUGAAUCCUCCGAAUGGGGAAAGAUCCAGCAUGUCCAGCAACUAAAGGCGUAUGGACGCAAGAUAGAAGGAGAAGCGGAGGAAGCCGACCAAUCGCACGAAGAUGAGGAUGCCGAGUGGUACAUCUACUGUACCAAGGAGCCGUAUUCAUUCGACGCAUACCUGGGCAAGUCCACGGGUGAGUUCAUCUUCGACCUACUCGGUGGUUUUAUAACUGUAUGUGUGUGUACACUCAUGUAAAAAUGGAUUUCUAACUGUAUAUUCACCUGCGCACAGGAUGAAGAUGAAGCAGAAGUAGACGAGGUGAACGAAGAACAAAGUCCAGGAAUAGAACAUAGUAAGAAUGCAAGGAACAGAGGAAGCUCUCAGGCUGUUACGACAGGACGAGCAUUCGAAUCAAUCCACCAAAUACUAGGUAUGAAUUGCCCAAAUACUGAUGGUCUUGUAGUUGUACACGCCAAAUUGGCUGUGACUAUUCUAACUGGAAAGCAUUGUCGUGUUAACGCAGGAGAAAGAAACCCAAGAAGGAGAAGAACACAUCGCAAUUGGGUGGUGGCAAUGUGGCAUACUGUCCCUCAAAUUCGUAAGUUGUAUAUGUUUUUGUGCGAAAAAUAUAAUACAGCAGUAAGGCGCGAGCGUCUCUCUAACCAGUUGUUGUGACGCUCAGGAAGGGAGCGCCAGCACGGGCGGCCUUGGACUCGUUGGAGCGAAUACGCGUCGGGGACGAGCGAUGUGCUGAGAGCUGAAGCACUGAACGUGCGCACGCAGGGCAGCAGGGAAGGGAUUUGCACAUUUAGCUCCUAGGAUUUGCACUUUCUUGUUGCCGUAUUUGUAGGCAGGUCUGCACUCCAUCCCUUCUUUUUGGUUGGUCCGUGCUAGCUCGUCAGACUUUCUACAGUGUUUUUGAAUGUUCGAUAACAAAUGAGUGUAGGAAUUUGCAGACGUGCUCUAUGAUGCCGAGAUAACAAUUGCAUCCCCCCCUCAUGGAUCCUCUGGAAAGCUGAAGCUACUCUGCAAGACUGCAACGAUUCAUUUGCACUGCCAAACAAACGAGCAUGACAAAUCGUAGGUCUCCCCUGCUAGCAUGGCAUAGGAGCUGAUGGACCACCUCUGAAGCUACUAUAUACUAUAUUCAUGUCCAUUAUGGUGUGGACAUGGACUGAUGGACCACCUCUGAAGAUAUAUUUCACGUGGAGUUUAUUAAUGAAAGUGUCUUUUUUUUUACUACGUCGAUAUCCUAGAACGUAUUUAAAUUUAUAAUAAAUGUAAUCUGAUAUAUAUGUUUCAGACUUGUUUGGUCCAUCAGUCCAUGUCCACACCAUAAUUAAGCUAGGCGUGUCACACUUGUUUAGGUGUGAGUUUAGUUUACGCCACAACUAGAACGUGCUAAAACUUUCUAAACCCUAUGCACCGUGUUUCAUAGAACCAAAGUAGGAGUACUCCGUAUAUGACUAGUUACGAAACAGGACCUUCCUACUUUGGUUGCUAUAAUUUAUAAUUAGAAGACUAUCCCUUAAUUCUAAUAACUUGCCAUCCGAAUCAUCUCGAUCAGCGUGAUGAUUAUGAUCACGAGUUUACUCCCUCCAUCCAUAUGUGUUUGAUCGGCGUAUUUGUCACACGAAAAGAUCCAAGAUUUUUCUUGCGGUCGCACGCUGACUGAGAUCAUGCGUUUGGGUGAAAAUCGUUCAAAGACUGAGGACGAUGGGCAAUGAAGCGUUGAAUGAUUUGCGUGGGAGUGUUUCUUCUUCCUUAGUCUCCGUGAAGCUAACAAAUACGCUGCUCGAAUAGGAUGGAGGGAGCAUCUGCUUGCAUUUUCGGCGGAUCAUCAUCGGCGGCUUGUUUCGGCCCUUGGGUCCUGUGCUGAUUCGGUGGACCCCACAUGCAUAGAAUCCAAGCAAAAUCUCCUCCAGAUUUCUAGCUUAUGCAAAUAUCUUCCCCGUUAUUAGCCAUUUUCAGUCAGUUAUUAUAUAUAUACGUAUAGAAAAAGAUCUACGUGGAUUAACUUGUACGGCAACAGGCUGAGAAGGAAUAUCUGUAUUGCAUGAUCAGUCAAUCAUUGGCCUAGCUAAACCGCUGAUCGAAAUGUUAUUUACUUUAUUUAUGCCGAUGAAAUUUUUUUAAUGUUAGGGUCUUUUACUAAGGAAAAAAAAUCUGGUUGAGGAAUAGAUUUUUUUUAAUGCUAGGGUCUUUCUCUUCAUCAGGUCGCUACUUCCCGGACAGGGCUAUCGAUUUGGUCGACGAGGCGUGCGCGGCCGUGAGGCUGCAAAAGAACGGCGAAAGAGGCAACAAGGAAGCAACAGCAGGAUGCCCAUGGACAACGACAACGUCGUCGCACCGGACCUCAUAGCGCAGGUGCUGGCAAUGUUGGGCGAUUCAGCAUUCUCAAUUGCUUCGAUCAUCACACAUGUAUAAAUAGAACGUGAUGUUCCGAAUGUAUGCUGUGCAUAUCGUGAGCAAAUGGACGGGUAUCCGGUGACGGCCCUGGGGCGGGAUGAUCGGAAGAGGCUGCUCGACCUAACGCGGUGCUGCGCUCGCGGUCGGGCCUCGCCAACCCCGACCAGCCGUCCGGCUCCUUCCUCUUCCUCGGCCCACGAGCGUCGGCAAGACCGAUCUCGCCAAGGCCCUCGCCGAGGAGCUCUUCAGCAACGAGAAGGCGCUCGUCCGCAUCGACAUGUCCGAGCACGUCGGCGCAAGCUCCGUCACGAGCCUCAUCGGCUCGCCUCCAGGGAAUAUAUGUUUACAAAUAUCUCAUGACAUGCUCCAGUACUUGCACGUAAGAGCAACUCUAAAAAGUUCCCUUAUAUUACCCCCAAAAUCUGAUUUAGGAGAAAAAUGAAAAAAACAAGGUCCAACACUCCCAUAUUUUCUCCGCAAAGAUACAACAACGCGAAAAACUCCCCGAUCACCUUGUGUGUAUCCGCCUCGCCAUUCCUCCCCCAAUCAGCCACAGGUCUUCCUUUCCCGCCCGCAGAGCCAGUCCCGCCAAAUUUUUUCCCCACGAACGUGAGGCAAGCGUCGGAGGCGCGAGCGGCGUUGCGGCGGCGGCGUGAGCAGGCUUUCGCGGCGGCGCGAACGGGCCUGCAAUGCAUCGACCACGUUCAUAUGCUCGGUCCGGCAGGGGCAAGAACAGUGCGGCGGCAACAAGGUGCGGCAGGUCCCGUUUGUCGGCGGCCACCUACACCAUUGGCCCGUCGAGGACCGAAAUUUGCACGGGUCCAUUGGUGGCCGAACUUGGCCAGACCGGCGGCGGCAACUUGGGAAGUGAUCUGCAAGGUCGAGGACCAACUUGGGAAGUGAUCUACAUGGUCGAGGACCGGCGGUGGCAUCAGUAUUUGGUCUUACCUUUUUCUGAAUCCAGGGAUACUUUGCAUAGUUUCUGAAUCAAUUCCUGAUGAAAAAUUUGCCCAACAUGAUGAUUUGUCAGUUGUUGGAGUCGUUUGCCUUUUGGGAAUCAAACAUACAUCAGCUUCCAAUCGUGGGUCUCCAGCCAUGCUCGAGAUUAUUAGGGUAAGUACGUUGGUAUCGUCUAAUAGGUGGUCUCAGGUAUUGACACGUAAUCUUAAGAUGACUUAACAGACACAACCCGUACAAUGGAUUGUCUUAUAAGUUAUCUGGUAGAACUAUAUAAUUUCUUAAUUUGUGCAUAUGAAAAAAGGAAAUAUUAUGAGUUGCAUGGCAACAAUAACUCGUACAAUGGUCCUCUUUCUCUCUCCUUACUCUCUCUCUCUUUCACAUCAUCAAAAAUCCUACGUGGCACUGUAUGAGACGACCUAUGAGACCGUUGACGUGUAACAAUAUACUUGCUGAUUGGACAAUUAUCUUUCUAUUGAUACAUAUUAACCCCUUAAUGGUUUGCAUCGUUUCUAAAUCCAUGCAUUCCUGUAGAAAAAUGAGCGCAACAUGGUGUGCAACUGAUUUGUCAAUUGUUGUGCUGUGAUUUUCCUGAUGGGAUUAUUGGAAUUGUUGAACCCAACGGCAGGUUUGACGGGCGGAGGCGGCAGCAAACUACUGUGCGGCACAAUGAGGGGCGAUGGGAGGAAGGACUGGCGGCAGCGUUGGAGGGUGGUAGGAGAAAAACGUUAGGAGAGAGGGAGUUCAGGUGAGGAGGAGAGAGGUUGGCCCAACUGAUGGGCCCAUUAAUACUGAUGUGGUCUAUUUCGAAAUAUUGGUAAGCUAGAGUUUCCAAAAAGUUUUUCCCCAAAACUAUGUAUUGAGGGGCUCUUUCAAAAAAAAAUUCCUCUAAAAACAUAUCAAUCCAUAUCAGAUCGCUAAUAACUAUCCAAAUAUUUCAAAAUAGGCCAACCUUCUUUGACUUUUGCUCACAUUCACCGAAUCCGGACCGACUAACCGUAAUAUACAGUUAAAUUUCAAAAAAUGUUUCAAGCCAAAAGAAAAGCCGGAUCUUUUCGUGUUCAUCUCACUCACAGGUUCUUGAUUUCCUCCCAACGUUUACUGCAGGUACUACUACAGACGCACCUACAAGGACAACAUGAACUGCCCGGCAACGAACCAGGUACAACAGAAGGACCACAGCGACCCGCCAUUGUACGCAGUCACCUACUACAACGAGCACUCGUGCAACAGCACCUUCCUCACGCUCUCCCCCUCUGAGUUCCAGCUCCAGACCUCCUCGGGAAAGGUCGUCUCCAUCUGCUUCAACUCGUCAUCCGGGCCGGCGGCGCAACAACCGCUGUCCGCGGCGGCGGCAACAGCCACCAAUGCCAGCGGCGGCUCGCCCUCCUCCAGCGCUGCGACGCGACGAGGCACGCCCUCGAGAUCAGCAACCCACCCAUGCUACGGCGCGACGAGGCACGCCCCCAAGAUCAGCAACCCACCCAUGCUACGGCGCUCGGAGACGUACCCAUGGGUCGUGGGUGCCGUGGAGCAGAAGCCGGCGUCCUGCAGCACCAAGUCCCACGUCGCGUUCCCGGCUAGUGCCAGCGCGGUGCCGGAGGAGGUGGUAGAUGCAGGCAGAUUUGGGUCCAUCAGGUACGCAUGCCAGGUGAUUGGGAAAUGAUCGGACCUCCGCAUAUUUGCGGGGCGACGGAGGUGUUUUUAGCGUCCGCGCAUUUUCAUAGAAUGGAUUAAGGAGUUGUUGGAGGUAAGUUUUGUUUGUUUUUCCCUAAAUAAGAUUUUGGGGUAAGUGAGCUUUUGGAGUUGCUCUGAGAUGGUAUGAUUUUGGGGGGAAAAUAUUUUAUAAAAAACCCUAAUAUUUGUUUUUGGGGAGAAAUUUUAGAGAUUACUCUAAUCCCUUAUAAUUAAUGAUUCCGUAACUGCGUGCAGGGCGCCUGGGUACGAGAAUGGAGGGCAGCUCACGGAGCAGGAGAUGCGGCGGCCGUACAGCGUGGUGCUGUUCGACGAGAUGGAGAGAAGGGGGACGACGCCUUGUUCAACCUGUUCCUGCAGAUCCUCGACGACGGCAGGCUCACCGACGCCAAGGGCCGCGCCGUCGACUUCACCAACACCAUCAUCAUCAUGACCUCCAACCUCGGGGCGCACCACCUCGACGGCUACCCGGACAACGACGCCGCUCGCGAGCGCAUCCUCGCCGACGUGAGGAGGCACUUCCGGCCGGAGCUCGUGAACCGGCUUGACGAGAUGGUGGUGUUCCAGCCCCUGUCGUCGUCGUCCGCCGGCGACCAGCUGCUGCGGAAGGUGGCUAGGCUGCAGCUCAAGGGCGUCGCCUUGCGCCUCGCCGGCAAGGGCAUCGACCUCGACGUCACCGACGCCGCCCUCGACGUAAUGCUGUCGGAGACACGCGGCGAGGUGAAGAUGUACGGCGCUAGGCCGAUCAGACGGUUCGUGCAGAAGGUCGUCGUGACAAGGAUUUCCAAUAUGGUGGUGCGGGAGGAGGUGCACGAGGACUGCUGCAUCUCCAUCGACGCAGACGAGGAGGUGAAGGAACUGGUGUUCACCGUCACCAAGAAGCCGGCGGACCAAAAGAAGUAGCUGAUGUGCGUAGUCGUCGAGAACCCUGUCGACGAGGUGAAGAAUCCGGUGAUCACGGCCGAGAAGACUGCAGACGAGAAAAGGGAGGAGCCGGUGUUCACUACCGAGAAGCCUGGAGAUGAGAAAAAGCAGGAUCCGGUGUUCACCGUCGAGAAGCCUGCAGACGAGAACAUGGGGCCAGUGUUGAUCGUCGAGAAGCCUGCAGAUGAGAACAGGGAGGAACCGGUAGUCAUCAUCGAUCAGAAGCCUGAAAGUGAGAACAGGAAGGUCACCUUUGAAAAGUCUGUAGACAAUGGCAAGAAGCAUCCGGUAGUCACCAUCGAGAAUUCUGCAAACGAGGACAUGGAGCCGGUGUUCUCCGUCGAGAAGCCGGCGGACGAGGAGGAGGAGCCGGUGUUCACUGCCGAGAAGCCUGCAGAAGAGGAGGAGCCGGUGUUCACCACCGAGAACCUCGCAGACCAGGAGAAGAUGGAAGCUGGGGUUUACCGUCCUGAAGCCGAACUCGGACGAAAACAAAAGCAUCGUAUGCCUUCUCUGAUGUAAACAACACAGAAUGACAGGCACAAAGAUUGACAAGAAUGGUAGAUGGUGCUUAGUUUCCCUUCUUUCUUCUUGUUUUUUUUUUUUUGAGGGCGUAGAUCGUAGUUUCCAAAGGAUACCGCUAUUAUAUACAAAUGUGUCUUUCAGCACGCACAUACAUACGUUCACAUUUUACCAAAACUUUGUCUAUUCAAAUUUCAAAAUACCCAUUAGCUUGUACUUCCUCCGUCCCAAAUUGUAAUUGUAAGUCAUUCCAAGAAUCUUGGAGAGUCAAAGCAUCUCAAGUUUGACUAAAAUUAUAGAGAAAAAUAUAAAGAUUUAUGACAUCAAAUAGAUAUACUAUGAAAAUAUAAUUGAUAAAGAAUCUAAUGAUACUUAGUUAACAUCAUAAAUGUUAUUAUAUUAUCAUAUAAAUUUGGUCAAACUUGAGAUAUUUUGUCUCUCCAAGAUUUUUGAAAUGACUUACAAUUUGGAAAACGGAGGGAGUAUCUAACAUCUCAAGGACCCAACAUUUUGGUUUAAGGCUCUGCACUGCUAUUAUAUAGCAUUGAUAUUACCAGGAUGAUCAGUGCUAGGAUCCUCCUGAAUUAUCAGACAACGAUGACUGAAAAAUGCAUGAAUGAUCGUUGGAGGCCGAGAGCUAGAAGAUCAAUUCUCCAGCACAGCGAGCCCAUCUGAAAUUCGGCCCGAUCUAUAAUGCAUCCUUUCACACCACAACAAACGGACUGCCUAUUACCCAGUUUCAGCCCACAAAUUGUAUGUCCCACAAACAAGGCCGUCUAGAAUACACGGAUACUUCCAGCAGCAGCCUUGGACAGUAUUGUAAUGAACCCGUCGAUUCAGAGCUUUUUAAGUUAAUCGUGAUUGUGAUGCGCGAGGCAGGAUAGAAUAAGGCUCUGCUGUAUGAAAGCAAGACUGUAGACAGGUCAUCCCCUCGGGCCUGAAUUUUCAUUAGUCCCCAGUUGAUCCGAUCCGAUGGCCAUCCCGUGCACGUUAUACAAUGGGCUCUCGGGCUCUAUUCUAUUGCGCUGCUGAUACAUGAGAUCUUCUGCUAUGGCCUUGUCCGUAGGCUACACAACGGCAUCACUCGAUCGAUUGAUUUGCUAACAAUUUAUAUGCGAGCUGGCUUGCUUGCAUCCUCCCUUUGAUUUGCUUUCGGGGAAAAAGCAUCAGUUACUAGCAGAACAAUAUAGAAUAAAAAACAUCAGCAUCCUGAACCAGCGAUAUGCCUGUAGUUCGCUUUUAUUUCCCAGGAGGGGCAAGGCCUGAUGGCCACUUGUUUUUAGAUGAUGCAUCUGCAGAUUUGCUCUGCUAAAGAGAUCGAUCUGGGGCUGGGUCAAAUAAUCAUGGAGUUUUGCUGAAAUUUGUGAGUUUUGCUGCUGAGAUUGCUUUUGGGAGAUUGAUAUGGCUUUUGAUUCACUUUGGGGAGAGUGAAUUUCUGUCUUGAUUGUGUCGAGCCUAGCUUUUUCGCUAGCCCAUGUCUUUGGGGAUUAAGAUCGUUUCUUUUUCUUUCUUUUUAUUUUUUCUUUUUCAGUACGAAUAAAUUUGUGCGGUGUGGUGUUGUCAAUGCACUCAUCAAGGGGGAGAUUGAGAUGCCGGUGGGCUAGCACCUUGGUGAUGAGCGAUUGACAACACGGUGUGCGUGUGACGUGUCUCUUGGCAGGUUGUGGUUGCAGGUGACAGGUGGAGACAAGGUACAUGCGGCGACGAGUGAAGAACGAAGAUAGGAUGCCGCGUCGAAAAACCGCGGGGGCGGAGAAGGGCGGAUCGAGGCUUGCGUUCGAGGGACAGGCGAUCGUGCGGUGUACGUCUACUGUACCUGGCUACACGGCGGGAGGACGUCGAUGGAGGUUUCCGGAUUAUGCCACAAAAUCCGGGGUUCGCUGGUUGAGCCACAAAGCCAUGCAUCGUACCGGGACGCUCGUGCGGCGUGCGAAGAUGGAAAUUCUGGCGAUCGCGAUACGAUUUCGGAUGGUUGUGCGGCGACAUCGCGAGGAUCACAUCGCGGAGAUGGAGGGAUCGCGGACAUCGCGGAAUUUGCCAUGGAGGACGUAAUUGGAAUUUACGCCCCUACGUUGGAUUUAUUUAGCGUAGGGGGUUAUGUGAAAAUAGGUCGUGCCACCCUUUGGAGAUAUAAAUAUGUGGCACCUAGGGUUGAGGGAAAAGUGGACGUUUUGGACUCCCGGCGAGUUACUAUUCACGCGUGAACAGUACCCGUGAACAGUACUCGUGCCCUGGGGUUCCACGGUUCAAUUUUCCUCUCUCCGGUCUAGCCUAGGGUUUGAAUUCUAGUGAGAGGUUUUUGUUGAUCUCUCCGAUUAAGAGAGGGAGGAUGUUCGGGCGGAGGCUAGAUGCACUUUUGUAAGUUCAAUUACUCGAUUUAAUCUUUCAUCUAUAAUGAUUGAUCUUGUGCAUCUCGAUUGGUUCUUUACAAUUCUCGUCAGCAUCUGACAUAGUCUGCUUGUUUUAUUUUUAUCUCAAGAUCCGUAAGUCCGAUUGACGUGAUUCCAGUUGGGUUAGUUUCGUAAUUUCAUCUAGUUUAAUCUGACAAAUUUUUAGGUCGAUCGGAGUUACGGAUUUUCGUCCACAUCAGGUUUACUAGGUACAUAGAGUUCUGUCCAGAUUUGAAAAACGUGAUUUAUUCAGGUUUUGUGUUUAGGGGAAGGGUUAGAAAUAUUUGUUAGAAAGUUUUGGCUUCUGCGACCAUUCACCCCCCCUCUGGUCGCCCGUUACGAUCCUUCAAUUGGUACCAGAGCCGGUUUAGGUUUUCUAUAGCUUAAUCGGUGCUGAAAGCUAUGGCGACCAAUGAAAAGUUUGAUGUUCGCGCUCCGUUUUUUGAUGGGACUGAUUAUGAUUACUGGAAGGCACGUAUGACCAACUAUCUCAAAGGCAAGUCGCUGAAGCUAUGGAAAAUCACACAAAAUGCCACAUAUGUGAUUCCAGCUGAGGAACCGACUGACGCCGCUGAGAUCGGGCUUCUUGAAACAAAUCAUCGUGCUGUUGCUAUUUUACAGGCUUCUAUUUGUAAAACUGAAUAUGAUCGGGUUUCUAGUGAAGAUCUCGCUUAUCAGAUCUGGGAGAAACUUAGAAAAUAUCAUGAAGGCUCAAACACUGUGAAAAACCGAAAAUUUGAGAUUCACCGAAAAGAGUUUGAUGCUUUUUGCCAAUUGCCUAGUGAGUCUAUUGAUGACAUGUUUGCACGUUUUCAAGUGAUUGUUAAUAAGAUGAAGGCCAUGAAUAGAAAUAUACCUUAUGAUGAUCAUGCUAGGGCUCUCAGAUUAUUACAUUCACUUAAUGAUGAAUGGGAUAUGAAAGUUGAGGCGAUCGUUGAAUCUGUAGGUUAUGAAACUCUCACCACUGAUGAGCUUUACAGUAAGCUCAAAUCAAAAGAGAUUGAAAUUGUUUCUAAGCGUAAAUUGAAAAAUCCCACAGCUGCUUCUUCUUCUGACGUUCCAAUGGCUUUGGUUUCUGGAAAUAAGACUAACACUAAUGCUAAUCCAAAUGUUUCCAGUUUUGCUUUGUCUUCUUUGUGUCAUGUUGCAGAUGAGGAGUUGGAGGUGCUAGAUGAUGAUCAGCUUGUACUGCUCUCCAACAAGUUUAAGCGUGUGUAUGACAACAGGCGUAAUAGAAGACGUUCAGAUGGUUGCUUCAACUGUGGUGAGCGAGGACACUUUGCUGCUGAUUGCCCAAACAAGCAGAGAUCUUUUGAGCAGGGCAAUAACUCCUCCAGGCGCCAGGAGAAGUUCAGGGAGAGGAAGAAGAAGAAGGAUAAGCAAUGGAAGAAAGGCGGACAAAAAUACUCUGACAAGCAAGUCGCUAAGGCUGCAAAUGUUUUGUUAUCUUCUCUUGGACAGUAUGUUUCAGGUGGCUCGUCAGACUCCAGCGAUUCAGAUUCCGAGGAUGAGACACCCAAGAAGAAGACAGACGGACUUUGCUUCAUCACUGACGCCGGCAUCAAUGAUGGGAUAUGUACUAUGGCCUUGGAGGGUGAUGCAUCAACCGACAGCAACGAUGAAACUUCUGAUGAUGAGGUAGAUACUUCUGCAGAACAAAGAAUAGCUAAUUUAACUAAAAUUGUUCAUAAGCAAAAUAAAGUGUUGGCUAAACUUAAAACUGAUUAUGAUAAAACUUGUGCUGAACUAGCUACUCUCAAAAAUGCUGCAUCUAAUCCUGCUGAACCUGAUGAAUGUGAAGAAUGCUCAAUUCAUAUGAUUUCGUUGUCUAAAUUGCAAACCAAGUAUUCUUCCAUUGUUGAUGAUCGAGAUAAACUUUACGCUGAACUAAAUGAACUUCGUUCUCGGUCGAAUUUGCUUGGUACUUGUGUUUCUUGCCCGCUUUUGAAAGUUGACUUGGAUAAUGCUUUAUGUCGGGUAAAAAAUUUUGAAGAACACACUUGUCCUGAUUUGCCGGAUUGUUUGAUUUGUCCAACUUUACGAUCUGAAUUAAAUGUUGCUAAAUCACAUAUUGUUGAGUUGGAAAAACACACUUGUCCGGUUCUUCCUUCAUGCCUAACUUGUCCUAAUUUUGUUGUUGAAAAUAAUGAUUUAAGGGCCAAACUUGCUGAUUUGGAAGAAGAAAAUAAGCAUUUGAGAACUAUUCUUGGUUGGUGUUCUAUUCGUGAGCCUCAAAUUGGUAUGGCUAUUGCUCAAAUUAAACGGGGUGAGCGUUUUGGUCCCGGUUAUGACUUGAAACAUGUUUUUGGUGAAAAAAGUGGACCGCCUGUUGAUGAGAAGAAUCCACCUUUGGCUAAAUAUACUGGACCACCUCCUAGGAAGGGUUCAGGUGUCACCUCUGAUGGGUUGCUGGUUGAGACAUCUAGAUCUGCUCCUAAAAAGCAGGUUUGGGCGCCUAAGCCAAAACACUUCAAGGGUAUACAAAAUACUAAGCCAAAUGGUUCUUCUUGUGAUCAUUUUGCUAAGCCUGUUUUUGUUGCUUCUAGUUCUAAUGCUGAGGCUUCUGUCGCUCCUGCACGCAAGCUUUAUCAUUGUGAUUUUUGCAGUCAUGAUGGUCAUCUUUAUGAGUUCUGUUAUCGGAGGAUGCGUGCUGAACGACGUGAGCACCCCACACGUGGUACUCAUGAUCUUCGUGUUUUUAGAUGUGAGCAGUACCCUGUACGUGGUACUCAUGAUUGUCCUAUUUUGAGACGUGAGCCAUUUGUUCGCUCUUCUGGUUUUCGCUCACGUACUCGUGCUCUUGCACAACAUCGGGAUGACAGACCACGUUUUCCCCCUCGUGGUUCUCAUCGUUUUCAUUACAUUAUCCUAACCCCAGUGUUGAGUCAUUAGCUCACCCUCGCUCUCGUUGUUGAUUGCAGGUUGGAGGCGAGGAGGACAUAUGGAUAAUGGACUCCGGUUGUUCGCGCCACAUGACCGGAGAUGAUAAAUGGUUCUCCAGCCUCACCCCCACGAGCGUAAAGGAAAACAUCACUUUUGGGGAUAAAAGUCAAGGUAAGGUAAUGGCGCAUGGCUGCAUCAAGGUAACAGAUAAAUACACGUUAAAGGAUGUCGCAUUGGUAAAGAAUUUGCAUUAUAAUUUGCUGUCUGUUUCGCAACUUCUUGAGGAUGAUUUUGAGGUUCGUUUUAAGAAAGGAAAUUCGCGUGUUCUUGAUUCUGCUGGUAACCUUGUUUGCAAGAUUUCUCCUUUUAGACGGAUUUUUAAAGCUGAUUUUUCUAAAUCUUUUGGUGAAACUCGCUGUUUAGUUGCUCAUGGUUCCCCCCUGAUUUGGAAGUGGCAUCGUCGGUUGGGCCACUUGAGCUUUGAUUUGCUUUGUCGUUUGAGUUCAUUGGAUUUAAUUGAUGGUUUACCGAAACUCAAGUUUGAAAAGGAUUUGAUUUGUGCUCCCUGCAAGCAUGGAAAAAUGGUUGCUGCUUCUCAUUCACCUGUGACUCAGGUGAUGACGAGACGACCAGGUGAACUGUUACAUAUGGACACUGUUGGUCCAGCCCGUGUUCGGUCUGCUGGUGGGAAGUGGUAUGUGCUCGUCGUUGUGGACGAUUUUUCUCGAUAUUCAUGGGUGUUCUUUUUGGAAUCUAAGGAUGAGGCUUUCUCACAUGUUCAUGAUCUUGUUCUAAAGCUGAAAAAUGAGUUGUCAAAUAAUGCCGUUAGAGCAAUUCGCAGUGACAACGGUACGGAAUUCAAGAAUUCUCGCAUGAAAGCUUUCUGUUCAGAACAAGGUUUAGAUCAUCAGUUUUCCUCACCUUACGUUCCUCCCCAGAACGGUGUUGUUGAGCGUAAAAAUCGUACGCUUGUUGAGAUGGCUAGGACAAUGCUUGAUGAACAUAAAACUCCUAGACGUUUUUGGGCUGAGGCUAUCAACACCGCUUGCUAUGUUGCUAAUCGCAUUUUUCUGAGAGCUUUUCUAGGAAAAACAUCUUAUGAGUUGAGAUUUGGUCGACCUCCCAAAGUUUUCCACCUUCGAGUUUUUGGCUGCAAGUGUUUUAUAUUGAAAAAGGGAAAUUUGGAUAAAUUUGAAUCGCGUUCUUCCGAUGGGUUAUUUUUGGGGUAUGCCUUGCAAGGGCGAGCGUACCGUGUGCUUAAUCUUGAUACUAACCGCAUCGAUGAGACAUGUGAGGUCAGCUUCGACGAGACAAUGCCUUGUUUUUCUUCUGCUUUUGAGUGUGCAGGUGAUGACGAGAUCGGGCAGGAUAUUUUUGAGGAUGAGAAAGAGGACGAUGGAUGUGACGACGACGAUGACGAUGAUGCCCAGCCUGCGAUGCAGGGGGAGCCUGGCGCCCAGCCUGAGCAGGCGCCCUCCACCACUUUGGAGGAUGGACCAUCGCCGACACGUAUAUCUACAGCAGAGUCUGCAGCUUCACCGACUGUUGAUCAUGUACCGGCUGUAGUUGAGGGGGAGGCGAUUUCAGAACGUACAGCACCACGACACAUUCAGAAUCGUCAUCCUGCCAAGAACAUAAUAGGUAAUUUGGAUGAACGCACGACAAGGAACAGAGGUACGAAAAAUAAAAAUUAUUGUGUCUUUGCGCAUACUGCCUUUGUUGCCUCUUUUGAACCCCGAGAUGUUGGACAUGCUUUAUCUGAUUCUAACUGGGUCAAUGCCAUGCAUGAGGAGUUAGAAAAUUUUGCACGGAAUCAGGUUUGGGUUUUGGUUGAUCCUCCUCCUUCUUGUAAACCAAUUGGAACUAAAUGGAUCUUUAAGAACAAACAAGGGGAAGAUGGUCAUGUUGUUAGAAAUAAAGCUAGGUUGGUUGCUCAGGGCUUUUCUCAAAAAGAGGGUAUUGAUUAUGGUGAAACUUUUGCUCCUGUUGCUCGUUUAGAAGCCAUUCGUAUUUUGCUUGCAUUUGCUGCUUCACGUGGAUAUAAGCUUUAUCAAAUGGACGUGAAAAGUGUUUUUCUGAAUGGUUUUAUAGAAGAAGAAGUUUAUGUUAAACAACCGCCUGGUUUUGAACAUCCCAAUUUUCCUGAUCGUGUUUUUAAGUUGCAAAAGGCUUUAUAUGGUUUGAAGCAAGCACCUCGUGCUUGGUAUGCUAGAUUGAAAACUUUUCUGCUUAAAAACGGGUUCAAAAUGGGUUCAGUUGAUAAAACUCUUUUUCUCCUCAGGCAAGGCAAUGACACUUUAAUAGUUCAGAUUUAUGUGGAUGAUAUCAUUUUCGGUGGUUCCUCUCAUGCUCUUGUGAAAAAGUUUGCAGAUGUGAUGAGUAAAGAAUUUGAGAUGUCUAUGAUGGGCGAGCUGCAUUUCUUUCUUGGCUUACAAAUAAAACAAACUUCGGAAGGUACAUUUGUGCAUCAGGGAAAGUACACGAAGGAUGUCCUGAAGAAGUUUGCGAUGGAUGAUGCGAAGCCAAUUUCUACACCCAUGCCGACUAGCGCUACUUUGGAUGCUGAUGAGGACGGAGAGCCCGUGGAUCAGAAGGAAUAUCGAAGCAUGAUGGGGUCGCUGCUGUACUUGACUGCUACGAGGCCAGAUAUACACUUUGCUGUGUGUAUGUGUGCUCGUUUUCAGGCGUCCCCCAGGACUUCUCACCGUCAGGUGGUGAAGCGCAUAAUGAGGUAUCUUCGAUUUACUCCUGCAUUUGGCCUUUGGUACUCUGCUGCUUCAACUCUCAGUUUGUGUGGUUAUUCGGAUGCUGAUUUUGCUGGGUGUCGUUUGGAUAGAAAGUCUACAUCGGGUACUUGCCAAUUUUUGGGUUCUUCGCUUGUUUCUUGGUCCUCUAGAAAACAAUCUAAUGUUGCUCAAUCUACUACAGAGGCUGAGUAUGUUGCUGCUGCUAGUUGUUGUUCUCAACUUUUAUGGAUGAUAGCUACCCUUCGCGAUUUUGGUUUGUCGUUUUCUCGCGUUCCUCUCUUGUGUGACAGCACUAGCGCUAUAAGUGUUGCAAAGAAUCCUGUGCUUCACUCUAAGACAAAACACAUUGAGGUUCGUCAUCAUUUUCUGAGGGAUCAUGUUGAGAAGGGUGAUAUUAAGCUUAAAUACAUUGAUACUAGUCAGCAACUUGCUGAUAUUCUGACUAAACCACUCGAUCAAACCACGUUUGCACGUUUGCGUGGUGAGUUUGGGGUGUGUUACCCAUUCUAGUAUCAUUGUAAGUUGCUUCAGUUACAUAUGCCUUAUACUUAUUUUGGCUAGUUUGCGAUCGAUGCUUUUGGAGAGGUUUGAAUGCUUUGCUUGACCAAUUUUUAUUUUGAAAACAGCACAGAUAUAUACUUAAAAAAUUAUGUUGGGCUAUGCUUGCUUUUCUGAAUCUAGUGACUUGUUGAAUACUUGACAUAUAUCUUGCUCAUGGUUCGGUAGUCAGCUUCUUUUAAUGGGUUUUCACUGCAAAUGUAACUCACAAUCCAAGUUUUAACUCGGGAGUGCAUAGUAUGGUUGUGAGCAAAAACUCUGAAUUCCCAUAUCUCUGCUAUUUAGCUCAUGAUCUGCUUGCCUUACUGAGAAUUUAAAUAUGGGCGCAACUCUGUUUUUCCCAUGUCCCUGCUGGUUCUCGCUCAUAAAAAAAAUUAAACAAAUUGGCUGGGCACAACUCUUGCUUCCCAUAUCCCUGCUUAUCAUGCUCACAAAAGUCAGACUUAAAUAUGACAAGUGAAUGCAUUUGUGGGCGUUGCAGUGAACUUUGACUGAAGCUGUGUAUCUGUCGUGUGAGCUCGCUAUAUGUUUUGUCUUCAGCUUUGCACUGAGUUUGGAAUGUGCAUGUUUUUGCCUGGCACAUUAGUUUUCAAACAGAUUUCAGUUCUAAAUUUUUAUUGGUCAUGGCAUUGUAUUGUUCCUUCUCUGGAUAGCUAGUGUUGUUGGUUAGCUUUUAUAAGUAUUUGGCAUAUGUCUCAGAAGCUUCAACUUGUGCUUUCUCACAUGCUUUUCUCUAAAUUGGUUCCUUGCAUUUUAUCUUGAUGGAGUGCUUUGUCAACAAGGGGGAGAGUGAGUAGCGCACAAAUUCAUUCUUGCAGGGGGAGUUCGUUCAUUCAGGGGGAGUUUUGCUGAAAUUUGUGAGUUUUGCUGCUGAGAUUGCUUUUGGGAGAUUGAUAUGGCUUUUGAUUCACUUUGGGGAGAGUGAAUUUCUGUCUUGAUUGUGUCGAGCCUAGCUUUUUCGCUAGCCCAUGUCUUUGGGGAUUAAGAUCGUUUCUUUUUCUUUCUUUUUAUUUUUUCUUUUUCAGUACGAAUAAAUUUGUGCGGUGUGGUGUUGUCAAUGCACUCAUCAAGGGGGAGAUUGAGAUGCCGGUGGGCUAGCACCUUGGUGAUGAGCGAUUGACAACACGGUGUGCGUGUGACGUGUCUCUUGGCAGGUUGUGGUUGCAGGUGACAGGUGGAGACAAGGUACAUGCGGCGACGAGUGAAGAACGAAGAUAGGAUGCCGCGUCGAAAAACCGCGGGGGCGGAGAAGGGCGGAUCGAGGCUUGCGUUCGAGGGACAGGCGAUCGUGCGGUGUACGUCUACUGUACCUGGCUACACGGCGGGAGGACGUCGAUGGAGGUUUCCGGAUUAUGCCACAAAAUCCGGGGUUCGCUGGUUGAGCCACAAAGCCAUGCAUCGUACCGGGACGCUCGUGCGGCGUGCGAAGAUGGAAAUUCUGGCGAUCGCGAUACGAUUUCGGAUGGUUGUGCGGCGACAUCGCGAGGAUCACAUCGCGGAGAUGGAGGGAUCGCGGACAUCGCGGAAUUUGCCAUGGAGGACGUAAUUGGAAUUUACGCCCCUACGUUGGAUUUAUUUAGCGUAGGGGGUUAUGUGAAAAUAGGUCGUGCCACCCUUUGGAGAUAUAAAUAUGUGGCACCUAGGGUUGAGGGAAAAGUGGACGUUUUGGACUCCCGGCGAGUUACUAUUCACGCGUGAACAGUACCCGUGAACAGUACUCGUGCCCUGGGGUUCCACGGUUCAAUUUUCCUCUCUCCGGUCUAGCCUAGGGUUUGAAUUCUAGUGAGAGGUUUUUGUUGAUCUCUCCGAUUAAGAGAGGGAGGAUGUUCGGGCGGAGGCUAGAUGCACUUUUGUAAGUUCAAUUACUCGAUUUAAUCUUUCAUCUAUAAUGAUUGAUCUUGUGCAUCUCGAUUGGUUCUUUACAAUUCUCGUCAGCAUCUGACAUAGUCUGCUUGUUUUAUUUUUAUCUCAAGAUCCGUAAGUCCGAUUGACGUGAUUCCAGUUGGGUUAGUUUCGUAAUUUCAUCUAGUUUAAUCUGACAAAUUUUUAGGUCGAUCGGAGUUACGGAUUUUCGUCCACAUCAGGUUUACUAGGUACAUAGAGUUCUGUCCAGAUUUGAAAAACGUGAUUUAUUCAGGUUUUGUGUUUAGGGGAAGGGUUAGAAAUAUUUGUUAGAAAGUUUUGGCUUCUGCGACCAUUCACCCCCCCUCUGGUCGCCCGUUACGAUCCUUCACAAAGGAAAAAGGAAAAGAUGUCACCCACUACAAUGAGUGCCAUCAUGGCGAUCAACUCUCGAAUCGCUAUCAGUACUGCUUUGAUUGUGCUAACUAAACCAAUUGAGGAACAAUAUCAUUAGUGGUACAGUCGGGAAAAGCGGGAUGAGAGCAUCCAUAUCGAUUGUGAGUUGGACACGGGUAAAUAAUUCAUGGACUCGCAGGUGUGCCACUAGUUAGAGGUUUGGUUGCCCCUUUUGUUUCUACAAAUGUGCGGUAAAAUUCCUUUCACUUGGUUUUCGAUCAAGCUUCCAUGUAUACUGCUCCCUCCAUCCUAAAUUAUAGAUCAUUUCAUGUUUUCUAGAUUCGUACCUUUCACUGUGCAUCCAGAUAUAAUAUAUAUCUAGGUGCAUAGCAAAAUCUAUGAAUCUACAAAAACCAAAAUGAUCUAUAAUUUAGGACGGGGAGGAAGUCCGAAAGAUUGAUGGCGUCCUUCGUAAAAAGUCCUGCCAUGUACCAUUUAUGUUCUACGAAUGGGCUAUAUGAAUCUUAUUAUUAUUAUUCCAAGAAUUUUAGCUGCAUGGUCAUUCAGAAGAUGGGCAUGAGUGCUCGUGCCUAACAAUAAAUAAACUUCGCUAAAACUCCAGAAUAUCAACUACAGUUGUAUACUUUAUAUGCAUGGUAUAAACUUACAGUAAUGAAGCAAAAAGUCCAUUUUCUGUUGAACAAACGACAAGAGGAUUGGUAAAAUGGUAAAAGUGUUGUGAAAGUGUUAAUUCUCCAGUAUGGAUGGUAAACUGGUAAAAAGUGGUAACAAGGAUGAAUCUCAGCUCACGGGGGAGUAGAUGACAUCAACAACUAACCUCCCUCGCGCUAGCUGCUGCGGCAACAAUGAAUUGCUUGCAGUCACUUGUCUGUACAGCAGGAUAGUGGCCACCAUUAUUUGUAGUCAUUCUGCCUAAGGAGACGACGCUAGCAGUGAGUGUGAGCAGGGCAGCAGCUUUAUGGCUCGUCUCGCCAUGGCCCCAAUAAUUGGUCCACUUGUAUUGAUUUCACUGCACAGGAUUCACAUGCUGGAGGCUGCGCCUUGUGCCGACACUUUUGUGUGAACUCAUAGGCCGACGACUCCAAGUCUCCGCUGCUUGCCACCCACUAAUGAAUGUCGACUUGGCGCUGGUUCCACGGAGAUGCUAAUACAUGUGAAGGAUAGGACAUAAGACCAAAGGAAAGAACAACUAACAAUAACAAGUGGGCAUGCUUACUCAGAGACUUAAAAGACUUAGCUGCACAUCAAGAACUAGUCGGCUAUACUAAUUGCAUCUGAAAAUGAUCUUAGGGUUCAUGUUUAGAUGUAUUGGCUUAACUGAUACCAAAUGUAGGAAACUACAUUACUUAGCUUAAUCUAAAUAGUAUCUUUCCUUUGGUCUCUUUAAUUUCUUUGCCUCAGGUCACUUUCUAGCUAAUGCUAAUGCACAAGUAGAUUUAUUUACUGGAAAAACGUGCUUAUGCAGAUCAAUAUUUACCUUCACCGGCUUCACCGUUUGCUGUUGGGAUCGUCUUGGAUUCCUCUGCUUCUCUGCCAUUCGGGCACCUAGGUAACAGAGGUCCUGUCUAGUUCCCCAAAAUUCCAACUUUAUCACUAUACAAAAAGAAGAUUCUCCAUCACAUCAAACUUGCGAUACAUGCAUGGAGUACUGAAUGUAGAUGAAAUUAAAAACUAAUUGCACAGUUUUGUUGUACUUUGCGAGACGAAUCUUUUGAGCCUAAUUAGUCAAUAUUUGGACAAUAAUUCAUAAAUACAAACGAAAUGCUACAGUUGCGCUAUAGUAAUUUUGGUUGUCCAAAGUUGGACAACUAAACAACACCGAGGUCUGAAACGCACUAAUCGUCCACUGUACACUGGUAGCGACCGUACACAGACUGAACCCCUGCUUCCUGUUGGAGAACCAUUGAACGCGUCGUCAGAGCUAAAUCAUUGAGCCUUGACACAUUUCUUUGCCCCAACGUCAUUUUCUGACCACUGCUAAUGGGCAGUUGGUUUCCUUUCUUAUUUUGAAAAAAUAAUAAAAAAUCGAGAUUUCCGCUACUAAUCAUUAGACAACGGCUAGUAUACAGUGGCGCAGGAUCAAGGCUUGUGGGCCCACAACCCGUGGGACCCAGCCGCUCGUGACGACAGUGCAGGGGAAAUUAUGAAUAUACAGUGAACGUAGUACUACACCUCACCUACUCCUGUCGUUUUCCAGCCGUGCCACGCGGGCCCCGCAGCGCGCUGCGCUCGUACUCGCUACGUUUUCUGGUCACGCCCCUGAAUUUCACGUAAGUGCCGGCUAAAAUACAUGUUUUAUCGUUCCUUUCUGGUAUCUGAACUGUGGCACCGUGCUGUUCUGGUAUCUGAGGCCUAGUUGGCUAAGGCCAUGUUUAGUUACUCCCAACUUCCAACUUUGACACUAUGCAAAAAGAAGAUUCCCCAUCACAUCAAACUUGCGGUACAUGCAUGGAGUACUAAAUGUAGAUGAAAUUAAAAAGUAAUUGCACAGUUUUGUUGUACUUUGCGAGACGAAUCUUUUGAGCCUAAUUAGUCAAUAUUUGGACAAUAAUUCACAAAUACAAACGAAACGCUACAGUGUGCUACAGUGCUGUAACAGUAAUUUGGCACCUCCCAAAUUGGCCAACUAAACAAGGCCUAAAUUGGAAGGUGCCAAAUUACUGUAGGAAGCCAUUGAUGAUGGUACUGANNNNNNNNNNNNNNNNNNNNNNNNNNNNNNNNNNNNNNNNNNNNNNNNNNNNNNNNNNNNNNNNNNNNNNNNNNNNNNNNNNNNNNNNNNNNNNNNNNNNNNNNNNNNNNNNNNNNNNNNNNNNNNNNNNNNNNNNNNNNNNNNNNNNNNNNNNNNNNNNNNNNNNNNNNNNNNNNNNNNNNNNNNNNNNNNNNNNNNNNNNNNNNNNNNNNNNNNNNNNNNNNNNNNNNNNNNNNNNNNNNNNNNNNNNNNNNNNNNNNNNNNNNNNNNNNNNNNNNNNNNNNNNGUCUCAUAGCUUAUUUUUCCAUGGUGACCUUUUUCCCGGAUUCAGGAAUAAGUUCCAGCUUCUGUAGUCAAGUUUGAGAGAGUACUCCUGCAGAUAACAAAGACGCAGUACACAGAUGGCCCACACCACUGACAUGGCACAAGUUCUAAGCAAGAGAAACAAAAGGAUCACAAUGGCUAGUUUAGUGAUUCUCUCCUAAAAUUGCAGCCCGGCUGGCCGAAGAUCUACAUGGUGACGUCCUCCAACCUUAGGGAAUCCUUUCGUUGGUAUUUACGAAUUAUUAUUCAAAUAUUAGCUAAUUAGGCUCAAAAGAUUCGUCUGGCAAAGUACAACAAAACUGUGCAAUUAGUUUUUAAUUUCGUCUACAUUUAGUACUCCAUGCAUGUACCGCAAGUUUGAUGUGACGGGGAAUCUUCUUUUUGCAUAGUGUCAAAGUUAGGAGUUGGGAGGUAACUAAACAUGACCUGAAUUGUGGCUCUGUGUUGUUUCAGGAAGCCAUUGAUGAUGGUACUGAUAAUGAGCAUGAUUUUGACACAAAAUCUGAGAAUGUUCUAGAUCUGCAACAACAGGAAAAGACAAUAUAUCCUCAAAGGCCUGGUGAACCAGAGUGUUCUCACUACAUGAAGCAUGGAUACUGUAAAUUUCAGAAGAGCUGCAUAUUCCAUCAUCCGACAGACCAUCUUUCAAACAAAUAGGUACACACCGUUAUGUGGUUCUUUUUUUUUCCCCCUUGGUAUCAAAUGUUCACAUAAAUAUGGUUACACCCUUGGGGGUUUGUUUUGUGUAUGAAAUUUUCAUAUAAAUACAGCCUAGCAGUUAAGGAAAAAGGUGAAAUGGAUGGAGGCAGGUGUGUGUUUGGGAAAAAAGUAUAUAUGCAUGGAUUAAAUCAAUUCUACUUUGUGGCAAGUGGUUACUAUUACCCUAAUAUUGGCAACUACCUUAAAUUAUUGCAUGAUAAUGUAGGCACAUAGCAUCUGAGUUUAUUACUCUCUUGUAGUGUCCCUUUCUGGGUCCUGCAUAUGCUAUUUACCUGGCAACUGGCAUACAAGAAUGGCACUAGGAAAUCCCUUUUGGCAUUGCUGGUUUGGACACCUUGUCUCGUCUUUUAUGCAACAUGGCCCAUAAUUAAAGUUGGUCUCCAUUUGUAUUGCGUUUGAAUCAUCAGAGGGCGGUAGCUGAUGUUUGCACAGCAAAUGACCUGUGGAAACUGCACGGCAGCCUUCAUUGUUUUGCCCCCUCAUCUGACUGGUUACCCUGGUGUUUUUGAUUGCCUUGUUUGCAGGACCGUUUCACCACUACCACUUCUGUAGCUGACUCAGGUGGGGGAUAUGACUGGCUGUGGCUGAUGAGUGGAGGAAGUUCUGAUGAUGGAACAGAAAAUGAUUGUAGGGAGCUUCAACCCUAGUCUUCUGUGAAGAGAUUGAUUAUUCUACCACGUUUGGGUCGAAUUUCUGCCCCCUAUCUGUCGUUAGAGUUCUCGUACCAGAUGUGAACUGCCUGGUGGCUCCCAACUCCCAGUCGCUCAUAUGCCAUAUAACGUUGCUGCGACCUCCCUGUGUUGUUAACUUGAGGUUGCGAACCACAUACUUAGCAUGCAGCUCUAGAUGCCUGCACUGACCGACCGAAGAUUGUGAUCAUGGCAAGAUUAAAAUAUCAGACCAUCUUUUGUAACGUGCGAUCUCCAUCGUUUUAUUUGUCGUUUGGAUCUUCAAGCUAAGUCGCGGCCUUUACUUUCUGUUGUCCCCUGAUAAGCAUGCAUGUGUUGGACUGUUGGUUAUGGUUGGGUCAGGCUGCUGGCCAAACCGAACGGUGGUCAAGCCGUUCGAUCGAUGCUGCGAGUUCAAGAGUCUUCUGCGCGUGUCCAGGCUUGGAGCUCUGGUCUUGCCUAAGGGUAUGGUAGUAUUACGCUGUGCGGAAUAAUUUGAUUUGGUCUGAUUGAUUCCCAAUUUUCAAAUGGUUGUUAGGUAUCGUCGUCGUCGUCGUGCACAGCACUCAUGAGACGCACGUUGGCGACACGCACCUGCACAUUGCCCAAGUUCCAAGGAAAGUAAAUUAAGAUGCUCGCAAUCAUGUGAGAGACGGUGCUCCUCAAAAGAUCGAUACCUAAACCAUGAACGAUCAUGCGAACCUGAAUUAUUGCGGUUGCAAGUGGCUACGGCGGAAUCAGAUCCCUCUGACUGAGAAUUCAGAUUACAAAUAAUCCUGGGACCCGGGUUGGCCGUUCGCAUUUGCAGUCACGCAUCAAGCGAUUAGGAUCACCUCUCUACAAAGCAUUCCGCAAUCAGCACGGAGUAGAAGCAUACACUUUGGAACCCCCCACCCCUCAUUUUUUCUUGUCGCUAAUAGUACCCCAUCCCCCGGUCAUGGCGGCGGUUCUGGACGCGUUCGCGUCCAAGCUGGCGAGCAUCCUAGCCGGCAUGGCGAAGGGCGAAGUGGAGAUGCUUCUUGGCGUACCCGGUGAGAUCACCAAGCUUGAGACCACGCUCGGCGACCUGAGCAGCAUUCUGGCAGAUGCUGAGAGGAGGCGCAUCCGUGACUCGACGGUGGAGCGGUGGGUGAGGGAGCUCAAGGAUGUCAUGUACGACGCCGAUGACAUCCUUGACCUCUGCCAGAUCAUGGAGGGCGGAGAAGAUCCCUCUUCUUCAGCUGCUGCUCGAAAAGCCACUUCAGGGUGCUGGAACAUCCCCGCGAUGUUCUUUUGCUUCCGCAACCCCGUGGUUGCACACGAGAUCGGGAAGAAGAUCCAAGCGCUCAACAAGCGACUGGAAGAUCUUGAGAAGAGAAGCUCCCGCUUUGGAUUCAUCAAGCAAGCAAUUAACUCCUCAGGUUAUUCCAUCAACAAUGCCAUCAAUCCUUGGUCCAAUAGUAAUACAAAGACUGGAUCGAUCAUUAUCAAGUCUGAUGUUGUCGGCGAGAAGAUCGAGGAGGAUACCAAGAAAAUCGUUGAUCUACUCAUCAGAAUGUGGACUCUCGCGUAGGAUUAAAUAGCAACAAUGUGAUUGUUGAUCUUGCANNNNNNNNNNNNNNNNNNNNNNNNNNNNNNNNNNNNNNNNNNNNNNNNNNNNNNNNNNNNNNNNNNNNNNNNNNNNNNNNNNNNNNNNNNNNNNNNNNNNUCAGGACAUGGUAUGCCAUUGUAACACAGGUAGUCUCAGGAUGAUGAUUCCUCUAACACAAUGGAUUAGUAUGGUGCGAACUUAAUUGCCAAAAAGAUAGAGAACUUCAGAUUGAUGCUAUCUUUUUUGUACUACGGGUGUCAACAUGUACACUCUACGAAGGCACAGGGUUGUCCGAAGUAGCCAGACGAAUGCAUUACUCCUCAUUGAUUAUGACCCUCCUCCAGAUGGCGCAGGUCGGCGAACCUUGGCUACACCGAGUAUAUCAUUAGCACUCUCUGGAAAGAACUAACGCCCGCCCCAGUCCGGUGACGGACUGCGCACGUGUGAUGCACGCGCCGUUGGUUUGCCGAGUGUCGAAAUGUUGCCGUGUGUCGCUGAGAGGUUUGCCGAGUGGCAAAAUUUUUACACUCGGCAUUGAGGUCAUUUGCCGAGUGCCAUAAAUCCGACACUCGGCAAACCUCUCAGCGACACACGGCAACAUUCCGACACUCGGCAAACCAACGGCGCGUGCAUCACACGUGCGCCGUCCGUCACCGGACUGGGGCGGCCGUUAGUUCUUUGCCGAGUGUUGGACUCCGACACUCGGCAAAGACAAGGUUCGCCGAGUGCCGCCUUCCGACACUCGGCAAAUAGAGAAUGUCGCCGAGUGCCUAGGCCUAGCCACUCGGCAAACACAGUACUUCGCCGAGUGUAAAAUGUUGGCACUCGGCGAACAAAAAAAAAAAAUCCUCCCCUAGCCUCCACACUUUUUCUACUCUCCACGUAGGACAUUUUGUAAGCCAUAAGAAAAGUUGGUAUAUUUUGUGGUCUGUUUGCUAUUUUUAAUGAAAUGAUUGCAUUAAUAAGAAUUUUUUUAUUCAUGUCAGAUUUUAACUGCAUGUACAUGAAAUGAUGGUUUUUAAUCAGUGGAAAAUUUAUAUCCAUAUUAUGGAGUCCGGAUUGAGUUCACAACCAGAAAAUGAAAAGAAAUUGUCAACAUUGUUUUUAAAAAAUGCCACCACGAACGUGAGGUUGAAUGGUGGUUAAAUUCCAAAAAAAGCAAACGAAAUCUGAAAAUCACAAGAUUUGUCAAGAUGUCAUGAUAUUAUGUGUGGAGGCUGUGGUAAAAAAUUGAGAAGGUUUUGCACAAUUUCUGACAUAUGAUGCUUAGAAGCCGACGCAUCUCCUUGAAGGAUUCAUAGAAGUUAGAGAGGACACAAUAAGAUUUGGAGUCCAAGUGACACUUGAGUUAACGUUUGGCUUCAAAUAUUUUUGCAUAGGCAACAUGCAACACAGAUUGGUUCGUGUCAAAAUUUGGAAAUUUUUUGGAUGCGUUUACUAUUUUUUAUUGAUUAAAUGCAAUUAUAGAAUUUUAGUAGAUAUAAAUGCAUAUUUCGCUAUAACUGCAUGAAAUAAUAGAACAUUAUCAGUAGAAAAAUAAUUUAAACAUUGUUGAGUGAUGUUGACACGAUUUUGCCCAAGUAUAUUAGGAAAAGAUCUGUAAAACAUGUUGUUUAAGGAGGCACAUGAAAUAUAAGUGUAUUUUACCGAGUGCAUAAAGAAAACACUCGGUAAAGGUAGUAUUUGCCGAGUGUUAGAUCGCAGGCACUCGGUAAAAAGGUUACAGGGCCCACUGGCAGUGUUCUCGUCCUGCUUUAAAAAAGAAAACCUUGUGUUUGCCGAGUGCCUUGAUCUGGCACUCNNNNNNNNNNNNNNNNNNNNNNNNNNNNNNNNNNNNNNNNNNNNNNNNNNNNNNNNNNNNNNNNNNNNNNNNNNNNNNNNNNNNNNNNNNNNNNNNNNNNNNNNNNNNNNNNNNNNNNNNNNNNNNNNNNNNNNNNNNNNNNNNNNNNNNNNNNNNNNNNNNNNNNNNNNNNNNNNNNNNNNNNNNNNNNNNNNNNNNNNNNNNNNNNNNNNNNNNNNNNNNNNNNNNNNNNNNNNNNNNNNNNNNNNNNNNNNNNNNNNNNNNNNNNNNNNNNNNNNNNNNNNNNNNNNNNNNNNNNNNNNNNNNNNNNNNNNNNNNNNNNNNNNNNNNNNNNNNNNNNNNNNNNNNNNNNNNNNNNNNNNNNNNNNNNNNNNNNNNNNNNNNNNNNNNNNNNNNNNNNNNNNNNNNNNNNNNNNNNNNNNNNNNNNNNNNNNNNNNNNNNNNNNNNNNNNNNNNNNNNNNNNNNNNNNNNNNNNNNNNNNNNNNNNNNNNNNNNNNNNNNNNNNNNNNNNNNNNNNNNNNNNNNNNNNNNNNNNNNNNNNNNNNNNNNNNNNNNNNNNNNNNNNNNNNNNNNNNNNNNNNNNNNNNNNNNNNNNNNNNNNNNNNNNNNNNNNNNNNNNNNNNNNNNNNNNNNNNNNNNNNNNNNNNNNNNNNNNNNNNNNNNNNNNNNNNNNNNNNNNNNNNNNNNNNNNNNNNNNNNNNNNNNNNNNNNNNNNNNNNNNNNNNNNNNNNNNNNNNNNNNNNNNNNNNNNNNNNNNNNNNNNNNNNNNNNNNNNNNNNNNNNNNNNNNNNNNNNNNNNNNNNNNNNNNNNNNNNNNNNNNNNNNNNNNNNNNNNNNNNNNNNNNNNNNNNNNNNNNNNNNNNNNNNNNNNNNNNNNNNNNNNNNNNNNNNNNNNNNNNNNNNNNNNNNNNNNNNNNNNNNNNNNNNNNNNNNNNNNNNNNNNNNNNNNNNNNNNNNNNNNNNNNNNNNNNNNNNNNNNNNNNNNNNNNNNNNNNNNNNNNNNNNNNNNNNNNNNNNNNNNNNNNNNNNNNNNNNNNNNNNNNNNNNNNNNNNNNNNNNNNNNNNNNNNNNNNNNNNNNNNNNNNNNNNNNNNNNNNNNNNNNNNNNNNNNNNNNNNNNNNNNNNNNNNNNNNNNNNNNNNNNNNNNNNNNNNNNNNNNNNNNNNNNNNNNNNNNNNNNNNNNNNNNNNNNNNNNNNNNNNNNNNNNNNNNNNNNNNNNNNNNNNNNNNNNNNNNNNNNNNNNNNNNNNNNNNNNNNNNNNNNNNNNNNNNNNNNNNNNNNNNNNNNNNNNNNNNNNNNNNNNNNNNNNNNNNNNNNNNNNNNNNNNNNNNNNNNNNNNNNNNNNNNNNNNNNNNNNNNNNNNNNNNNNNNNNNNNNNNNNNNNNNNNNNNNNNNNNNNNNNNNNNNNNNNNNNNNNNNNNNNNNNNNNNNNNNNNNNNNNNNNNNNNNNNNNNNNNNNNNNNNNNNNNNNNNNNNNNNNNNNNNNNNNNNNNNNNNNNNNNNNNNNNNNNNNNNNNNNNNNNNNNNNNNNNNNNNNNNNNNNNNNNNNNNNNNNNNNNNNNNNNNNNNNNNNNNNNNNNNNNNNNNNNNNNNNNNNNNNNNNNNNNNNNNNNNNNNNNNNNNNNNNNNNNNNNNNNNNNNNNNNNNNNNNNNNNNNNNNNNNNNNNNNNNNNNNNNNNNNNNNNNNNNNNNNNNNNNNNNNNNNNNNNNNNNNNNNNUUCUUCAUUCGACAAACAUCGACAAUUCCUUCUCCUGAUCAUCCUUUCAGACGAGAUAUUAGAAAUUUUACAAAAGAUGUCGUAGUUAACGACCCUCCACCGCAGAUGCUUACUUAGCCGCGGUUCGUGCUCAGUUAGACGCUCUGGAGGUCAACAUUCAAGAUGGUGGUUUUGUGGGAUAUGGCGAGCAACAUGCUUGGACCCAGAGAUCGUGCUUGUGGAACCUCCCCUAUUUUGAUGAUCUUCUUCUCCCACACAACAUUGAUGUUAUGCAUACUGAAAAGAACAUUGCCGAGGCAAUUUUUGGUACCAUUAUGGACAUUCCUGACAAGACAAAAGAUAACGUUAAGGCUAGAGUGGAUCAAGCAAUGUUAUGCAACAGACCAAAGUUAGACAUGGCGCCUCCCAGAGCAGGCAAGUCGUGGAGAAAGCCUAAGGCUGAUUUCGUCCUGACGAGGGCCCAAAGGAGGGAGGUAUUACAAUGGUUCGAAACGUUAAUGUUCCCUGAUGGGUAUGCAGCAAAUCUGAAGAGGGGAGUGAACUUAGCUACUAUGCGAAUCAACGGGCUCAAAAGUCAUGAUUAUCACAUAUGGAUUGAGCGUCUACUUCCGGUGAUGGUUCGAGGUUAUGUCCCUGAGCAUGUGUGGCAGGUGCUAGCGGAGUUGAGUAAUUUCUUCCGCCAGCUUUGUGCUAAGGAGUUAUCUCGGACCGUGGUUGACGAAAUGGAAAGAAUGGCGCCUAUGUUGCUCUGUAAGUUGGAGAAGAUCUUUCCUCCUGGCUUCUUCAAUCCGAUGCAGCAUAUGAUUUUACACCUCCCUUAUGAAGCACGAAUGGGGGGGCCUGUGCAGGGCCGUUGGUGCUACUCAAUUGAGAGGUGUCAAAAGGUUCUUCGAACGAAAUGUAAAAACAAAUGCAAAAUUGAAGCCUCCAUUGCAGAAGCAUACAUUCUAGAGGAGGUGUCAAACUUCACAACAAAAUACUAUGCUGACAACCUUCCUAAUGUGCACAAUCCACCGCCUCGUUACAAUGACAACGAAGUUGAAUCGAGCCUUAGUCUUUUUCGAGGACAACUUGGAAGUGCAAGUGGUGCGACACAAAAAAAAUUGACACAUAAAGAGUGGCGCACAAUCAUGUUGUAUGUAUUGACCAACCUAUCCGAGGUGGAGCCGUACAUGCUGUAAGUUUUGAACAAACUAGUUAAUUCUGAAUUUGUCAGUAUUCUUCGACAUAUUAUCAUGUUUCUCGUUGGUGUAGGGAAUUCCAUCGUAAGUUUUGGCGUCAUUCAAGGGAACCUACCCCACAAGAAGCCGAGACUCUUCUCAAAGAGGGUGCAGGAAAUGGAAUGCCCAAUUUCAUUUCCUGGUUCAAACAUAAGGUACAGUUGAUUUUAGCUCCUACUUAGCUUGAUUAGAAGUUGAUCGUAUAUGCGAAUAAUAUAACGAACCACCCUACNNNNNNNNNNNNNNNNNNNNNNNNNNNNNNNNNNNNNNNNNNNNNNNNNNNNNNNNNNNNNNNNNNNNNNNNNNNNNNNNNNNNNNNNNNNNNNNNNNNNCUACACAUCCUCGUGUGGGAUUAGGACCUAUCUUCACCUAAUAGAUAAUAUAGGAAACGCGUAGAUGCAACGUGAGUUUUUUAUAUUACUCGGUGAUAUGCUAGUGGAUGGAGGAUCGUCAGUGGAUGUACACGGGCCGAUCUAGUCAGAAUUCGUUGACCGAAGAAUGGAUAAACAAGACCGAUGCUUUCUUGGAACGGGCAUUUGCAAGGAUCAAAGGAGGAAGAGAUACUUGGUGUCCGUGUAGAAAAUGUGGAAAUCUGCGUCGGCAAACCAAGUUAGAAAUGGGUAAACAUCUUGUUAGGCACGGUUUUACCCCAGACUAUACCAUCUGGAUCUACCAUGGUGAAUUCGAUCGUGGGAGGGACGAGGUCAUCAGACAACGGAUCGAGCAAUAUGAUGAUGAUGCCGGGGUGGGAGACAUGUUAGAUGACUAUCAUGAAGCUCGUAGGGAGGAGGAACCCGAGGCUACCGCAAAGGCGUAUUACGACAUGUUGUGUGCGGCACAGCAACCCCUUCACGGGCAUACCAAGGUCUCUCAAUUGGAUGCCAUUGCACGUCUAAUGGCUGUUAAGUCCCAGUUUAGCUUGAGUCGAAACGCCUUCGAUGUUAUUUUGACAGUUUUUGGGAGUCUGCUCCCGGAGAAUCACAUCUUGCCAAAGUCUAUGUAUGAGGCACAAAAACUUCUUCGUGCACUUAAGAUGCCGUACGAGCAGAUACAUGCUUGUCCGAAGGGAUGUAUCUUAUUUAGAAAGGAAUAUGCGGAAUCAAAGUACUGUGUGAAGUGCGAAUCGUCUAGGUUCCUGGAGGUAGACUCUGGUGAAGGUCAGAAGAAGCAGCUUGCAAUCCCUGUGAAGAUCCUUCGGUACCUUCCCUUCAUACCGAGGAUCCAACGGCUAUACAUGUGUGAAGAAUCCGCGAAACAAAUGACAUGGCACAAAACCGGACGUCGAUACAAUGCUGAGAAGCUGGUACACCCAUCCGAUGGCGAAGCAUGGACAAAGUUUGAUGCGAUUUAUCAUGAGAAAGCUCGAGAGGCUCGUAAUGUAAGGGUUGCGCUCGCAACAGAUGGGUUCAAUCCUUAUGGAAUGGCUUCCGCCCCGUACACCUGUUGGCCUAUGUUCGUUAUCCCCCUCAAUCUCCCCCCUGGUGUUCUCUUUCAGCGACAGAACAUAUUUUUAUCGUUGAUAAUUCCAGAACAUCCAGGAAAUAAUAUGAGUGUGUACAUGGAGCCUUUAAUUGAUGAUUUGGUUCGUGCAUGGGAUGAAGGGGUAUGGACAUACGACCGUGCUACAAGGACAAACUUCAAGAUGCAUGUUUGGUAUCACUACUCCCUGCAUGACUUGCCAGCAUAUGGUAUUUUCUGUGGUUGGUGUGUUCACGGGAAGUUCCCAUGCCCAGUAUGCAAGGCUUCUUUGAAAUUCAUUUGGUUGACGAAGGGUGGCAAAUAUUCUUCAUUCGACAAACAUCGACAAUUCCUUCCUCCUGAUCAUCCUUUCAGACGAGAUAUUAGAAAUUUUACAAAAGAUGUCGUAGUUAACGACCCUCCACCGCAGAUGCUUACCUUAGCCGCGGUUCGUGCUCAGUUAGACGCUCUGGAGGUGAUGCACAGGCCGAGGAAACGGAGGGGGCACAGGUCCUUGCUAGAGGCAGGGGUCGGGGCAGGGGUCGAGGAAAGGGUAAAGGCGUGAGGCCCCCCUCGCCUGCGCCUUCGUCGUCGUCGGAGGACGAGGUACCUUUCGCGCACGCCUCUAGUGACGAGGCGGAGGUGGAGCAGGAGCAGGAGCAGGAGCAGGAGCAGGAGCAGGAGGCAGGGGAGGAGGCAGGGGAUUCGCAGUCCAAGAUCUGGUUGCGAGGUCCCUCGUCCCUUCCGAGGCGACCGAUCCCUCUUCAUUUACGCCCACUGAUUCAACCUACCGGGGCAAAGUAAGUAAUUUUACAUAUUCUUAGUACUUUUGAUAUGUUCAAAUUUACAAUAGAAACUAAUAAUGUAUAUUACUCACUUGUGUAGGAGUUGGAUUAAGCUCAGUGGGGGUGCCCACAAUCGCAAGGUCAACGGCAUCAUCGGUCUUUUGUGUAGGCUACACUUUCCCGGUCUGGUGGUUUUCGCCGGACAGGAGGAGCCGGCCUACACGUGGGACCACUACGUCGCCGCCGCCGACGUCGGUGAUCGUGACCACAGGCAAUUUGCGAACAAGGCGGAGCGAGUGAAGGCCGAGCUGUGGGUAAGUAUUCGAAGCACUAGAUUGCUUAAUACACAAGUUUCGCUAGACAUUCUUGAAAAAAUACUUGUUUGAAAUGUGUCUAUACGCAGGACUUUUAUAGAUGCCAAGAGGGAUUCGAGGCUAGGGCGGCCUCCGUCAUUGAACUAGCCGCAAAGAAGCUCGUUAAGGACAUGCACUACGAGGCGCGGGUUCAGGCCAUCAUCGACUUCUAUGCUGAAUACAAAAGGAUGAGGGUCAAAAAAGAAGAGGCUAGGACAAUGAACCUGACGAAGGAAGAAUUCAUGAUGGUACGUACAAAAAGUUAAUAUUAACUAUUUCUGAGAUUAAUUACGCUUCACUUCUUUUGUUAUAUGUCUGACACUUGAUGAUGUAGGUGCCUCCGUGGUGGUGCCGAUCCUUUACCCAUUGUUGGGAGCAAAUGGUGAACGUGUGGUUGCAGCCCGGGUGGUUGGAGAACCACAAUGCUUGCCGGGAGCGGCGUCUGCAGAUGCCAUAUGCACCACACCAUCAAGGCAGCCUGAGCCUUGAUGAAUACAAGGAAAAAUGGGUAUGUGAAUUCAUUUCUUUAGUAUCACACAUAAUGCACAUAAUACUGCAUAUUUUGUAAUCCUUUUGUAUUUUUGCCGCAGACGUCAUCACAUGAAGGCCAGGAGUGCUCCCGGUUCAAGGCAUGGGUUAUGUCCAAAAAGGGCAAGGCCUCGGCAGACAUCGACUUCAACCCGGAGGACCCGCCCGAGGCAUACAGCCAUCCCAGCAUCCACAGCCGUGUCACCGAGUACACAGCAAUGGCGAGGGAGGUUCAUGGGCCAGAGUUCGAUCCGAGCUCUCAGGAUAUAGAUCCUGAAAUUGUGAUGAGGGUGGGAGGAGGGAAGAAGCAUGGCAGGUACUGGAUUGGAGAUAGCGUGAUCGACACUACCAGUACUCCCACCCUCUCCCAGAUCCGAGCAAGGAGCACUGACUCGAGCCCCGCGAUACGGGCACGGCCUACCGCUGCACAGUUACAGAUGCAGGCUCUGCAGGUUAUUCCUGUUUCUUUAAUUUUUCAUUCAUUUUGUUCAUAUCUUGGCAUUGGCAAUAAGACAUUGGGAUGAAAUAUUGUAGGCCCAGGUGGAGGUAGAACGGAAGCGCCGGGAGGACCUAGAGGCGAGGAUCGAGGCAGAUCGGCAGCUAGAAAGGCAGAGGACGGAGCAGAUGUUCCAAUACAUGCAGAGUGUCUUUCACAGUUUAGGUCAGACUCCACCACCUAUGCCACCGAACCUAUUCCCGCCACCUCCACCACCUCCUGCAGCUACUCCUGUGAGUCACUCUCAACCUUACAAUCACUCUAGAAGUAAACUAGAAACUACAGGCACUACAGACUUACACUAGAAAAGUGACUAAUACAAUGUCUAUAAUUUGUGCAGAAUCAAUCGGCGGCGUCCAAUGCAGAAUCUUCUUGGGGGCAGUGGCCACCUGCACAUACUCCUCAGCCUCCUCAUCCUCCUCAUCCUCCUCAGUGACUUGUGAACUAGAUGUGUUAGCUGUGGUAAAACUUGUGAAUUACCUGUUUCGACCAUAACUUGCGAAUGUUAUUUGUGUGCUUGUGAUGCUUGUGCUGCAAUUUAUAUGCCUGUGGUGUAAUUUAUAUGCAUGUGCUUCUCUGGUUGUUUUUUUGAGAGGGGUCUUUUAUACGUAACAUUUUUGUUUUGUAGGGGGUGCUCGGGUACUUUGCCGAGUGUUAACACUCGGCAAAGACCCAAUUUUCUGUUGUAUCGACGUUUUUACCGAGUGCCAUUGCCUUGGCACUCGGCAAAGAUGCCAAAUUUUUUUUGCAGCAGGGCUCUUUGCCGAGUGCCAAGGGGGGCACUCGGCAAAACAUACAACUUCGCCGAGUGCCGUUGCCCAGGCACUCGGCAAAGGUGCCAAAAAUUUUUUGCACCAGGGCUCUUUGCCGAGUGCCAAGGGCGGGCACUCGGCAAAACAUACAACUUCGCCGAGUGCCAUUGCCUUGGCACUCGGCAAAGUUGGUAGGAUCGCCGAGUGUAAUGCGAAGAAAACACUCGGCAAAGAGGAAUACUUCGCCGAGUGCAAUGUGACAAAACACUCGGCAAAGCAGGUGGGUUCGCCGAGUGCAAUGUGAAAAAACACUCGGCAAAGAAGAUGGGUUCGCCGUGUGUCUGCCGUCUGACACUCGGCAAAGACGCCGUUACCGUCGGUGACCGUUACCAUCUUUUUGCCGAGUGUUACACUUUGCCGAGUGUAUUGUGGCACUCGGCAAAGCGUUUGCCGAGUGCCCGAUGAUUGACACUCGGCAAACGCACUGUUUGCCGUAGGAAACUUUGCCGAGUCAACUUCGCCGAGUGUUACACUCGGCAAACCUUUUGCCGAGUGUAAUUGACCCUUCGCCGAGUGCCCCAGGCACUCGGCAAAGUUACUGUUUCCGGUAGUGAAAGCUCAACAUCUUCAUCGAGUUGACAAGCUGCAAACAGAAGAUGCUUGGAUUUUACUAAAGAACCAGGUCAGUAAUAACUCACAUAUAACAUCACUUUUAGUCUUCUUCCUUUUCUUUUUCUUUUUCUCCCUUGGAGUUUCGCCAUCCUUUCUCUUUUCCGCUCUCCGCUGCAAUUUUUAUUGAAACGAGGCAGGAGAGUUGCCCAUUAUAUUAAGUAGUCCAUCAACCCGUGCUCCCGCACGGGCUAAUAUUUUUAGAAGCUAUUGUAUUUGAAAAUUAUUUAGAAAUUAAACUCCUAGCUAAUAAUCAAAAUUGAUUACCUACUACUCUCUUAUUUUUUUCAAUACGUCAACAUUAUACUUAUAUAGAUAUGUACCUAUCUUUAUCCAAUUGUGAUUGAUUUUUAAUUAAUAAUUACUCUAUGCACUUUUUCAUCCAUAUUCAUACUUUUUCCAUUUUGUAUCGCACCUCAAAUCCUCCAUACAUUAUGUUUAGCAUACAAAUCAAUAUUUUUCAUCGAUUCCUGACGUACAUGCAUAAAUGGUCUAAAUGGUGACACUUGUAUAUACUUUAACUUAGUAUUUUUAUAUUAAUAAUGACAUAAAUAGGUAAUUUAGAAUCAUAUAUUAGUUUAUUUUUGACAUUUAUGCAUGAUGCACAUGAAGAUAAUUAGAUUAAGAUUUAGAUGUUUAUUUUAGGUUAUUUUUAAUAACAACUUACGUGGGUAAUAUAGAUAAAAUUUUAGAAUGACUUUUUAAGUUAUACUUUAUAAUGAUAUGUAUUAGUAAAUUCGAUGAAGAUUAUAGGAUUACUUUAGAUUAUUUUUUAUAAUAGCUGAGCUCGGUAAUUUAGAUAUAGGUUUAGAGCUCAUUUUUUAAUAUUUUCACAAUGAUAGUGGUGGUUAACUUUUUAGAAAAUAUAAUAGAUUAAUGGCUAUGAUUAUUAGAGUUUAUAGGAUUGGUGUUUGAUAUUUUUGAUUUUUAUGAGAAUUUGUCUCUUUUUUUUCUAGCUUGUCUUAUGGGAACUAAUGCGGAGUCUCCAAUGAAAAAAAAUGGAACUACAUUGCUCAAAAAUAUUACCAUAAGCUACCUCUCGUUUGUUAAAUAUUCAAACACAAUAGAUAUAUACUUAUUAUCUUCAUCUAAUUGUCAUAGAUUUUAGUUAGUAAUUACUCUAUAAUAUUUUCAUCCACAUUUAUAAUCUUUAACUUUUCACUUUGCAUCGCAGGUAUGCGUUUGAAUUUGUUUAAUGAACCCUAAGUUUGUGAUACAAUUUUAACAUAGAAAUCUAUAUUCUCAUCACUUCCUCUAUAUCUUUAUAAAUGGUGACACAUCAUGUGUAUAGACCUUAAUUUUAUAUCAUAUACCAAUAGUGCAAGAUAUAGACGAUUUAGAAUCAUAUAUUGUUGUAUAUUUUAAUUAAGGUUAUUUGAUUCAAACGUAGGGUUAUCAUGUUACUUUUAAUGAUGGCAUGUGUGGGUAAUAUAGAUGCAAAUUUAACAGGUUACUUUAAGUUUUUAAGUAAUAGUGGUGGGCAAUUUGGUUGCAAAUUAGGGGGUUAUUUUAAAUAUUGUUUAUAAUGGCAUAAGUGAGUAAUUUUGAUGAAGAUUAGGGGGUUACUUUAGUUUAUUUUAUAUAAUGGCAGAGGUGGGUAAUUUAUAUAUAGAUUUAAGGGGUUACUUUAGGUUAUUUUCAUAAUGGUAUAGGUGGGUAAUUUUUUAGAAAACAUAAUAGAUUUAAUGGCUAUGAUGAUUUGAAUCUAUAGAUCAAUGGUCGGAUGUUUUGCUUUUUUGUGAGAAUUUCUAGAAUUUCUCUCUUUUUCCAGAGUGUCCACCUAGGAAUCCUAGGUGGCUUCACCUGAAGGCUUCAAAAGGAGCCUCCAAUUAGUAAUAGUAAGAUAAGAUUGAGAAGAGAAGACGGCCAAUGGCCGGAGAUUUACAGCGGGGUAUGUAAGUUCAAAAAGGUCACGCUCUACACAAUAAGCGUGCCAAAUUCUUAGCCCAGCUAGAACCCAUGUCUUAGCUUCGUCUCUGAUCUUUGUGGCAAUCCUAAACGGCGGUGCUUCAACUCUCUAAAAUAUGCGGGAGUUGCAUUCUAACCACACUUCCCAGCAAACUAAAAUGAUUAGAGAGUGCAGACCUUUGUGCGAGAUCCCUGUCGUUCUUGCCCUGUCCUCCCACCAUACUUGAAGUGACGCAUAAGGUUAAGGUUGAGGUUGCAGUUAUUCUUGUCACUGGCUUUGUAGAUGAGAUUAAAAUCUUCAAGCAGAAGCCAAGGAGUUCCAUUCAGGGGCUUGAUGUUUGUGAGUUCCUGGAGAAAAGCUUGUUUUUUGGUUUGUCUUGAGGGCCAUAUUUAGCCGGAAGUUAAUUGGUUGUUCGCGUAAGUUGGCUGUUGCAGUUAUGUGAAAUUCGCUAAUUGAAAUGUCGCUUAUGUCGACAUAGUUGUCAUUCCAUAGUAGUAGGAUGCCCCCUCUAGUGCCGCUCCGUCUUUCUGCAGGCUUGUAUUCAAAUUUGUUCAGAUGAUGCCUGCCCAGGUAGGCUGCCGUGAAUUGGUCGAUGUUACUUGGUCUCCUGCACGCAUGCUAUGUGGCAUAGCGUUGAUGCCAUUGUCUUGUGAGCCUUUAUCGUUCGCUCUUAACCUACCAAAACAUGCCUCAUGUGUAAUGAUCGAACAUUCUACUGACGUCGAGUGAAGUUCUAUUUGGUUGCUCUAGCGCACCCACUUUAUUUUUACCUACUAUGACAACCUCUGUUUAAGUUAUUGCUAAAUCCAAUGCAUUAUAACACAGCAUAGUUUGUAUACGCUUGAGUUUUUUUAAUUGUAGCGCCACUUUCUCUCUCACACACGCUACAAUUUUUCUAAUAGGUAGUUUUGAAUGAGAGUGAUGAAGCUGAUGUCGAUGAAUUGAGGAGUAUCGGGAUGGAAAUUGUUAAAAGAUGUGACCGCUUGCCGUUAGCAGUUAAGGUCCUUGGAGGACUCUUGCGCUGCAAAAGUAGAACAAGAGAUGCUUGGACGGAUGUUACUAGCCACAACACUUGGUCGACAACAGGAAUCGAUGAAGAUAUUAAUAAAGCGGUCUAUUUGAGUUAUGAAGACUUGCCCUCACACCUGAAGCAAUGUUUUGUGUAUUGUUCCCUAAUCCCUAAAGGUAAAUUAAUAAUGAGAGGAACAAUGGUCCGGCUUUGGAUUGCAGCAGGUCAUGUACACAACAAGGCACCAGAAAAGUUGGGGAAAGAAUACUACAAAGAAUUGGUUUCAAGAAAUCUUCUAGAACCAAACAAAAAAUACUAUGGUAGAUCAGCAUGCAGCAUGCACGAUGUUAUCCGAUCCUUCACUCAGUAUAUAAUUAAAGAUGAAGGGAUACUUGUUAGUGAUGGGCAGGAUGUCAAUAGAAGUCUUAGCACUGCAAAGCUUCGGCACCUAUCUAUCUCAAACAAGGCACUAGGGCAUGACACUUUGCAAAAACAAGCCUUGCUUAGAACAUUAAUGUUAUUCGGAAGCAGCACCAUUGUUGAGCUAAAGGAUCUGUUGAACAACUUUUCUUGCCUAAGAGUACUACAUCUAGUAGAUGUAGAUCUAGUUGAGCUGCCAGACUCCAUAUGCCACCUCAAACAUUUAAGAGACUUAAGUAUUUAUAACGCAAGCAUAUCCACAAUUCCUCAAGGCAUAGGAGAUCUAAAAUUUCUACAAUCUAUUGACCUUGAUGGGUGUGCAAAUAUUCAUCAACUUCCUAACAGCAUCCUAAAGCUGCGGAAGCUAAGGUCACUCAACUUGAGCGACACGGCAAUCACUUCAAUUCCUCGUGGCUUGGGAAAACUAGAAGAUUUGGUCCACAUAAGCGGGUUUCCAACACAUUAUUCAGAUGAGAGCACAUGUGGCUGGUGCAGCUUAGAAGAACUCAGACCUCUGUCGAAGCUCCAAAGCCUUGAAAUAAGUUGUCUGGAGAAAGCACCUUCCGGUUCUAUGGCUGCUAAAGCAAACCUUAGCAGUAAACAUCACCUGACACGGUUACAUUUGGUAUUUACCAGCAGGCUAGGAGACAACGGGAAGGUCAAAGGCAACAUUAGCGAGGAGGAACACAGGAGAACAGAGGAGGUGCUGGAUAAUCUGUGUCCUCCAACUUGCAUGGAAGAACUUGAUAUCAAAGGCUACUUUGCACGUGGGCUACCGCAGUGGAUGAGAACCAUGUCAGCCUUUGGGAGCUUAAGGCGGUUGCAGCUAGAUGACGACGCAUGCUGCACGCAUCUACCUAAUGGAUUGGGGCAGCUCCCCUUUCUUGAUUAUUUUUGGUUCAAUCGUGCUCCGUCUGUCCGGUGCGUUGGGCACGAUUUCCUCUUCCCCUCCUUGGGUGGUCAAGCUGAUGGCAAAGUAACACGGAACAAUAACAGGCAGCCUCAUCAUACUUUGCGAGGUGCUGGUGUUGCUUUUCCCAAGUUGAGAAAAGUGGGUUUUGUAGGCAUGCUGGGAUGGACGAAUUGGGAGUGGGAGCAGCACGUCCCAGCGAUGCCUGCACUAGAGGAGCUUACAAUCAUAAACUGCAAACUGCAACACCUUCCUGCAGGGCUUGCACAACAUGCAUGCCGGUUGAGAGAGUUGCGCCUGACACAUGUCCAGCACUUGGUCUCUGUUGAGAACUUCCCUUCACUAGUCAAGCUUUGGUCAUAUGACAACCCAAGGCUGGAGAGGAUCAGCAACAACCCGAGCUUGCAAUGGAUUGACAUUAGAAAUUGCCCAGCACUAGAACAAUUGGACGGUUUGCCAUCCCUCCGAAGCCUCGAGUGGAGGGAUUUGAGUGCUGAAGCACUCCCAGAAUACUUGCGAGAGGCAAAGCUAAAGAAAUUGCGUGUAGAUUGCAGCCGAAGAUUGCUCAAACUGAUAGCACUACAAGAUGAAUCCUCCGAAUGGGGAAAGAUCCAGCAUGUCCAGCAACUAGAGGCGUAUGGACACAAGAUAGAAGGAGAAGCGGAGGAAGCCGACCAAUCGCACGAAGAUGAGGAUGCCGAGUGGUACAUCUACUGUACCAAGGAGCCGUAUUCAUUCGACGCGUACCUGGGCAAGUCCACGGGUGAGUUCAUCUUCGACCUACUCGGUGGUUUUAUAACUGUAUGUGUGUGUACACUCAUGUAAAAAUGGAUUUCUAACUGUAUAUUCUCCUGCGCACAGGAUGAAGAUGAAGCAGAAGUAGACGAGGUGAACGAAGAGCAGAGUCCAGGAAUAGAAUAUAGUAAGAAUGCAAGGAACAGAGGAAGCUCUCAGGCUGUUACGACAGGACGAGCAUUCGAAUCCAUCCACCAAAUACUAGGUAUGAAUUGCCCAAAUACUGAUGGUCUUGUAGUUGUACACGCCAAAUUGGCUGUGACUAUUCUAACUGGAAAGCAUUGUCGUGUUAACGCAGGAGAAAGAAACCCAAGAAGGAGAAGAACACAUCGCAAUUGGGUGGUGGCAAUGUGGCAUACUGUCCCUCAAAUUCGUAAGUUGUAUAUGUUUGUGUGCGAAAAAUAUAAUACAGCAGUAAGGCGCGAGCGUCUCUCUAACCAGUUGUUGUGACGCUCAGGAAUGGAGCGCCAGCACGGGCGGCCUUGGACUCGUUGGAGCGAAUACGCGUCGGGGACGAGCGAUGGGCUGAGAGGUGAAGCACUGAACGUGCGCGCGAAGGGCAGCAGGGAAGGGAUUUGCACAUUUAGCUCCCAGGAUUUGCACUUCUUGUUGGCGUAUUUGUAGGCAGGUCUGCACUCCAUCUCUUCUUUUCGGUUGGUCUCUGCUAGCUCGUCAGACUUUCUACAGUGUUUUUGAAUGUUCGAUAGCAAAUGAGUGUAGGAAUUUGCAGACGUGCUCUAUGAUGCCGAGAUAACAAUUGCAUCCCCCCCUCAUGGAUCCUCUGGAAAGCUGAAGCUACUCUGCAAGACUGCAACGAUUGCAGCAACACGGACGUGCCUACUAAAAACAUGGUGCAAUAAAACUGCGAAAUGCUAAACAAGGUCAAGCCGGCAGCCAGGUAAACAACAUUCCAGGCAGCAGGUAUAUUCUGAGCCGUGUGAGAAUUAUCUGUCUGCAAUAGCUUUUUCAUGGGUAGCUAUCACUCGCAUGUGGAUCGUGUCUCUGGCUGAUCCGUUCAGCGUGGACCGGAGCCAACAACGGGGAUAAGAAGUCCCAACUAGUAGUAGUUGGCUGCCAAUGCGGUGGCCAAAAUUUGACCAAGCCAAGGCUAGUAAACAGCAAAUUUGGUACUGUAGGCGCGCUAUUAUAUAGCGGAAGCAACCAAAGUUAUAUAAAUAUUAAUUAUGGAUAAUACAAAGUUAUAUAAAUAUUAAUUAUGGAUAAUAAAGAGGGAGAACUAAUCAGGACGCUGACGAUGCUUCUAGUUGAUCCAUCAUGCUCCAAAAUCUUUCUGCAAGUCAGGAGCUGCAGGAUAUAAGUGCAGAACUGCCUGCCGAUUUCAAAAAAUUAAAAAAAAUUAAAGAAAAAAGAACUGACUGCCGAUGGCCACUCAAGGUAGUAAAAACUAUAGGAAUGCUAUUAGUAGUUCCAGUGUUCCACUGGUAGCUGCCAUUUGCGCUUUGCUGAUCCGUUAGGUGCGGAGCCAGCGACGAAGAGAAGAGUUGAAGCGUCUCUCUGGGGGUUAGUUGAGGCGUCUCUCUUUUGCACCUCAUCAAUAGAGACAAAUAAUUUGAGUUGCAUAUUUUUUGACUACUGACUGGACACCCAAUCGAGGUCCACAAAAAUAUGGAGUAGCGUACUCUUCUGGCACUCCUAUGCGUUGAACUUCUUCGCCUCGCCAUCUCAUCUGCCCAUCCGUGAUUUUCCAUCGACCGGCCAGGCCUUCCUUCUGUAUAAAGCGUCUCCUAAAUCACCGCAGAGUGUACACCCCCACAUAUCUGAAACCUAGUCAUCUUCCUUUUGCUCUCUGCUUUGCUACCCUGUUCCCCGACCAUGGCAGAGCUGCUGGACGAGUUCGCGUCCAAGCUUGUGGGCAUCCUGGCAGGCAUGGUGAAGGAGGAGGUGGAGAUGCUCCUCGGCGUGCCGGGUGAGGUCACCAAGCUCGAGACCACGCUCCGUGACCUGAGCGACAUCUUGGGUGAUGCGGAGAGGAAGCGCAUCCGUGACAAGGCUACGGAGGGUUGGGUGAGGGAGCUCAAGGACGUCAUGUACGACGCCGAUGACGUCCUUGACCUCUGCCAGCUCAUGGAGGGCGGAGAAGAUCCUCCCGCACCAACAUCUGCUCCAAAAACCACCUCAAGGUGCUGGGACAUCCCCAAGAUGUUCUUUUGCUUCCGCAACCCUGUUGUGGCACAUGAGAUUGGAACGAAGAUCCAAGCGAUCAACCAGCGACUGGAAGACCUGGCAACGAGGAGCUCCCGUUUCGGAUUCAUCACCCAAGCCAUCCAUUCCUCAGCUGAUUCAAUCAACAAAGCUUCCAAUUCUUUGUCGACCGACGAGACUGGAUCGGUUUUUAUCCGGUCUGAUGUUGUCGGCGAGAAGGUUGAGGAUGACACGAAGAAAAUUGUAGAUCUACUCAUCAAGAAGAUGGAUGCUCCCGUAGGAUCAAGGGCCAAUAAUGAUGUGGUUGUUGCUGUUGCUAUCACAGGCACAGGUGGGAUAGGCAAAACCACUCUUGCUCAGAUGGUCUUCGGUGAUAGUAGGGUGGAGGAAAAAUUCGAGGAAAGGAUCUGGUUGAGCGUUAACCGUGAGUUCAAUGAGAUCAACGUCCUACAAAGUCUUAUAACUUCUUUUGGUGCCAAACAUGAAGGCUGUGCGGGAAACAAGGACCUACUUCAGCGUGCCCUGAAGGAUACGAUCCGGCAAAAGAAGAAGUUUUUGUUGGUGAUGGAUGAUGUGUGGAGGGAAAAUGUGUGGUAUAAGCUGCUUAGAGAGCCGCUCAAUCAUGGUGCUUCUGGCAGUCGAGUCUUGGUGACCACAAGAAAUGAUGGAGUUGCUCAUGGGAUGAAAGCUCAACAUCUCCAUCCAGUUCACAAGCUAACAACGGAAGAUGCUUGGAUUUUGCUAAAGAACCAGGUCAGUAAUAACUUUUAUUUAUUACAGUAAUUAUUUAUGCAGUAAUUUGAAUUUACUGUAACAACUUUUAUCUCUUCUUAAUUACUUUCUCUCCCUUGGAGGAAUGCACGAUAGCCCACUGCUCGUUAUUUCUCUUGUCGCUCUUGUCCGAUCUGAUUACGCAAAGGACCAUGUAAUUUCACUACGAGCCUUUUAUCAUACUUUCAUAAGCUCUUGGCUUAGCAAAACUUGUCUCAUGGUUAUAUUUAGUUGAACAUAUCCUAUUGACGUUGAGGGAAGUUUUGUUUAGUGCAAGGAAUCGGAUACCGUAGCCUAAGAGGGGGAGAGGGUGAAUUAGGUAACUUAAAACCUUAAUCUAUAGCUUCCGCUACUUUUGCAUCAAAUUUAAUUAGAUCAUGUAUCAAGAUGUGUAACUAUGGUUGAUCUAGUGUGAAAUCCUCAUCCUAAAAUUAGUUUUGCAACCUAGAGGCAAUCCUAACAAGAUACUACACUAAGAAUGUAAAGGCACACAAGUUGCAAGUAUGAAAUGUGGAAAUGAAAAGGAGGGGAUGAGGGGAAGCAAACUCUUGACACGAUGAUUUAUCCCGUUGUAUCGGUAGGCACUAAACCACCGCUAGUCGACAUUGUUGAAGCACUCACACAAGAGUAUUGCUUUCCGGUCACCAAGUCUCUCUCGGGAUACUCCUUGCUUUGCCACGAAGGCUUGGCCGCUAAGGCUCACGUCAAAUUCUCAGGUCACCUUGAUACCAUCUCCACAAAGGAGCUUCUCCACGAAGGAAGGGGGUCUCCACGUUCCCUGCAUAUUGUCGUCGACGCCGAUCCAUGCCAAACCGGAGGGUCGAAGACUUACCGGCGAACUACCAAGGCUCCAAGAUAGCACACCUUGUACAGCUGUGGUUCACUCCUAGAACCGAUCACAAGGCAGGCACACCUUGCACUCUCUCUUCUCUAGGCCUAUCCUAGCACUAAAUAUUCUUAUAAGCUUGUGCUAAGCCUUUGAUUAAUCACUUAUGCACUUUUGGUGGCUUGGAUGUGUUCUUGAUGAGUCUUGAUCUCCAAUGGACUUCUGCAUACUCCAGCUUCAUCCAGCAACUCCAAUGGGUGAGUGGAGGGGGUAUAAAUAGCCCAAGAACUCAAAGAGCCGUUGCUCCAACGGCUAGUUAAAGUAUACCAUCGGAUGUUCCGAUGGUAUCAUUCGGGGUAGCAUUCGAACAUCUGGUUCUACCAGCCCUUGCCUCCCCGCGCUUAGAUUCUACUCAAGUUCCUCACCGACGCAAUCCAUCGAUUGAUCAAGUGGUCCCUCUAGCACCCAUCGGAUCAUCCGGUGCAGUAGCUUCCUAUGCCAAAACGUCUCUGUUAGUUUCUAAAAUAAAUAUGCUUCAUCCGAUGCCCCCACGACACAUAGCGUCGGAUCAUCCGGUGCCUCCUUCUUUCUUCUCUUUGCUCCGGCGAUUCAUCCGAUGGAUACAAAACUUAGGCCAUCGAAUCAUCCGAUGGUCCUACUUUGACUUGGUCUCCACAUGGCGUACCAAAAGCUCCGAUGCUUGCACCGAUGCUUUUUCAACUGGCCAUCGAAACAUCCGAUGGUCUCAAAAACCUGCUUCACGCUUGGCACCGACUGAUUCGGUGGGCACCUUCUUCUUGUCACCAGAUGAAUCGGUGACUAUAAUGAUUCCUGUUUUUCUUUGAUUCUUUGCUUAUCUUUGGUUGUGGUUGCUUCCUCAGGACCUAUAAUACCUUCAAGAUAUGUUUUCAAUGCUUUGUUAGUCCUGAUGACCGUGUUGUCACAUUAAUCACCAAAAUCACAAACAAAUAGCCUAUUCGGGGCCAUGUUUGCUACAUUUAGGCUAUUCCCAAUGGGGAUUUCAUAAGAGUUUCAUUUAAUGAUGCGACACACCAACAAUUUUGAUGAUAUGGCAUGCUAAUAAUCAUGAAGAGAGAGAGGGAAUGAGUUUAAUCCUGAUUAAACUAUGUAUACAUUGUUUCCAAGACUAUGAAACCUGAUGAAACUAGCAUUGGGGAUUAGAGAGUUUCAUUUCAUCUCAUAACAUCCAAUCACAUACCUCGCAAUUAAACGUUAUGUCCAGCCUAUGAAAUCGCGAAAUGAAACUCUCCAUUGGGAGAUCUUGUGUCAUACAUCCACUCAAACAUCUUUCGAUGACGUACCACUCUUGAAAAUUGUAAUUGAAAUUUCCCACUGGGAAUAGCCAUGGUUGCUCUAGAGUCUAGACUCUAUUUAAGUCACUUCAACUUUUUCCCUACACACAACCCCUGCAACAGUUAUGAUACAACAUAAAAUCCAUUGGGAGCUUUUCGAUUCUAGCACCAUUUCCUCUCUCAAACUUGCUGCAUUUUUUUUCCAAUACUAGGUAGUUUCGAAUGAGAGUGAUGAAGCCGAUGUCGAUGAAUUGAAGAGUAUCGGGAUGGAAAUUGUUGAAAGAUGUGACUGCUUGCCGUUAGCAGUUAAGGUCCUUGGAGGACUCUUGCGUCACAAAAGGAGAACAAGGGAUGCCUGGACGGAUGUUAGUAGCCACGAUAUUUGGUCGACAAUAGGAAGCGAUGAAGAUAUUAAUAAAGCGGUCUAUUUGAGUUAUGAAGAUUUGCCUUCACACUUGAAGCAAUGUUUUGUGUAUUGUUCGCUAAUCCCUAAAGAUCACUUGAUAUCGAGUGGAGUAAUAGUCAAGCUUUGGAUUGCAGCAGGUCAUGUACACAACAAGAUGAGCUGUAAGGUACCAGAAAAGUUGGGGAAAGAAUACUACAACGAAUUGGUUUCAAGAAAUCUUCUAGAACCAGACAAAAGUUACUAUAGUACAGUAGUAUGCAGGAUGCACGAUGUUGUCCGUUCCUUCGCUCAGUAUAUAAUUAAAGAUGAAGGGAUACUUAUUAGUGAUGGGCAGGAUGUUAAUAGAACUCUUAGCACUGCAAAGCUUCGGCACCUAUCUAUCUCAAACACGACAGUAGGGCAUGACACUUUGCAAAAACAAGCCUUGCUUAGAACAUUAAUUUUAUUCGGAAGCAGUACCACUGUUGAGCUAAAGGAUCUGUUGAACAACCUUUCUUGCCUGAGAGUACUACAUCUAGUAAAGGUAGAUUUAGUCGAGCUGCCAGACUCCAUAUGCCACCUCAAACAUUUAAGAUACUUGUGUAUUUGUAACGCAAGCAUAUCCAGAAUUCCUCAAGGCAUAGGAGAUCUAAAAUUUCUACAAUCUAUUGACCUUGAUGGGUGUGCAAAUAUUCAUCAACUUCCUAACAGCAUCCUAAAGCUGCGGAAGCUAAGGUCACUCAACUUGAGCGACACGGCAAUCACUUCAAUUCCUCGUGGCUUGGGAAAACUAGAAGAUUUGGUCACCAUAAGGGGGUUUCCAACACAUUAUUCAGAUGAGAGCACAGGUGGCUGGUGCAGCAUAGAAGAACUCAGACCUCUGUCGAAGCUCCAAAGCCUUGAAAUAAUAUGUCUGGAGAAGGCACCUUCCGGUUCUAUGGCUGCUAAAGCAAACCUUAGCAGUAAACAUCACCUGACAUGGCUAGAUUUGGUAUUUACCAGCAGGCUAGGAGACAACGGGGUGGUCGAAGGCAACAUUAGCGAGGAGGAACACAGGAGAACAGAGGAGGUGCUGGAUAAUCUGUGUCCUCCAACUUGCAUGGAAGAACUUGAUAUAAAAGGCUACUUUGCACGUGGGCUACCGCAGUGGAUGAGAACCAUGUCAGCCUUUGGGAGCUUAAGGCGGUUGGUGCUACAUGACUACGCAUGCUGCCCGCAUCUACCUAAUGGAUUGGGGCAGCUCCCCUUUCUUGAUUAUUUUUGGGUCAAACGUGCUCCGUCUGUCCGGUGCGUUGGGCACGAUUUCCUCUUCCCCUCCUUGGGUGGUCAAGCUGAUGGCAAAGUAACACGGAACAAUAACAGGCAGCCUCAUCAUACUUCGCGUGGUGCUGGUGUUGCUUUUCCCAAGCUGUCAGAAGUGGGUUUUGUAGGCAUGCUGGGAUGGACGAAUUGGGAGUGGGAGCAGCACGUCCCAGCGAUGCCUACACUAGAGGAGCUUACAAUCAGAAACUGCAAACUGCAACACCUUCCUGCAGGGCUUGCAUACCAUGCAUGCCGGUUGAGAGAGUUGGACCUGAGAAAUAUCCAGCUCUUGGUCUGUGUGGAGAACUUCCCUUCACUAGUCAAGCUUUGGUCAUAUGACAACCCAAGGCUGGAGAGGAUCAGCAACAACCCAAGCUUGCAAUGGAUUGACAUUAGCAAUUGCCGAGCACUAGAGGAAUUGGACGGUUUGCCAUCCCUCCUAAGCCUUGAGUGGUGGAAUUUGAGUGCUGAAGCACUCCCAGAAUACUUGCGAGAGGCAAAGCUAAAGAAAUUGCGUGUAGAUUGCAGCCGAAGAUUGCUCAAACUGAUAGCACUACAAGAUGAAUCCUCCGAAUGGGGAAAGAUCCAGCAUGUCCAGCAACUAAAGGUGUAUGGAUGCAAGAUAGAAGGAGAAGCGGAGGAAGCCGACCAAUCGCACGAAGAUGAGGAUGCCGAGUGGUACAUCUACUGUACCAAGGAGCCGUAUUCAUUCGACGCAUACCUGGGCAAGUCCACGGGUGAGUUCAUCUUCGACCUACUCGGUGGUUUUAUAACUGUAUGUGUGUACACUCAUGUAAAAAUGGAUUUCUAACUGUAUAUUCACCUGCGCACAGGAUGAAGAUGAAGCAGAAGUAGACGAGGUGAACGAAGAGCAGAGUCCAGGAAUAGAACAUAGUAAGAAUGCAAGGAACAGAGGAAGCUCUCAGGCUGUUACGACAGGAGGAGCAUUCGAAUCCAUCCACCAAAUACUAGGUAUGAAUUGCCCAAAUACUAAUGGUCUUGUAGUUGUACACGCCAAAUUGGCUGUGACUAUUCUAACUGGAAAGCAUUGUCGUGUUAACGCAGGAGAAGAACACAUCGCAAUUGGCAUACUGUCCCUCAAAUUCGUAAGUUGUAUAUGUUUGUGUGCGAAAAAUAUAAUACAUCAGUAAGGCGCGAGCGUCUCUCUAACCAGUUGUUGUGACGCUCAGGAAGGGAGCGCCAGCACGGGCGGCCUUGGACUCGUUGGAGCGAAUACGCGUCGGGGACGAGCGAUGGGCUGAGAGCUGAAGCACUGAACGUGCGCGCGAAGGGCAGCAGGGAAGGGAUUUGCACAUUUAGCUCCCAGGAUUUGCACUUCUUGUUGGCGUAUUUGUAGGCAGGUCUGCACUCCAUCUCUUCUUUUUGGUUGGUCUGUGCUAGCUCGUCAGACUUUCUACAGUGUUUUUGAAUGUUCGAUAACAAAUGAGUGUAGGAAUUUGCAGACGUGCUCUAUGAUGCCGAGAUAACAAUUGCAUCCCCCCCUCAUGGAUCCUCUGGAAAGCUGAAGCUACUCUGCAAGACUGCAACGAUUGCAGCAACACGGACGUGCCUACUAAAAACAUGGUGCAAUAAAACUGCGAAAUGCUAAACAAGGUCAAGCCGGCAGCCAGGUGAGCAACAUUCCAGGCAGCAGGCAUAUUCUGAGCCGUUCAGCGUGGACCGGAGCCAACAACGGGGAUAAGAAGUCCCAACUAGUAGUAGUUGGCAGCCAAUGCGGUGGCCAAAAUUUGACCAAGCCAAGGCUAGUAAACAGCAAAUUUUGUAGCAAACCAAAAUUAAAAUGCGACGUAACCAAAGCGCUGGCGUAACCAUGUCGACAUUAGACCUGAUUUGUUAAUACGUGCUGAGAUGGCGAGGCAUAUCUUGUAACCAGCGACGAAGAGAAGAGUUCAAGCUGCAUUGGAUACAUGUGCUCCUGCCUCCUGGGGGUUAGUUGAGGCGUCUCUCUUUUGCACCUCAUCAAUAGAGACAAAUAAUUUGAGUUGCAUAUUUUUUGACUACUGACUGGACACCCAAUCGAGGUCCACAAAAAUAUGGAGUAGCGUACUCUUCUGGCCCUCCUAUGCGUUGAACUUCUUCGCCUCACCAUCUCAUCUGCCCAUCCGUGAUUUUCCAUCGACCGGCCAGGCCUUCCUUCUGUAUAAAGCGUCUCCUAAAUCACCGCAGAGUGUACACCCACACAUAUCUGAAAUCUAGUCAUCUUCCUUAGUCAUCUUCCUUUUGCUCUCUGCUUUGCUACCCUGUUCCCCGACCAUGGCAGAGCUGCUGGACGAGUUCGCGUCCAAGCUUGUGGGCAUCCUGGCAGGCAUGGUGAAGGAGGAGGUGGAGAUGCUCCUCGGCGUGCCGGGUGAGGUCACCAAGCUCGAGACCACGCUCCGCGACCUGAGCCACAUCUUGGGUGAUGCGGAGAGGAAGCGCAUCCGUGACAAGGCUACGGAGGGUUGGGUGAGGGAGCUCAAGGACGUCAUGUACGACGCCGAUGACGUCCUUGACCUCUGCCAGCUCAUGGAAGGCGGAGAAGAUCCUCCCGCACCAACAUCUGCUCCGAAAACCACCUCAAGGUGCUGGGACAUCCCCAAGAUGUUUUUUUGCUUCCGCAACCCUGUUGCGGCACAUGAGAUUGGAACGAAGAUCCAAGCGAUCAACCAGCGACUGGAAGACCUGGCAAAGAGGAGCUCCCGUUUCGGAUUCAUCACCCAAGCCAUCCAUUCCUCAGCUGAUUCAAUCAACGAAGCUUGGAAUUCUUUGUCCGACGAGACUGGAUCGGUUUUUAUCCGGUCUGAUGUUGUCGGCGAGAAGAUUGAGGAUGACACGAAGAAAAUUGUUGAUCUACUCAUCAAGAAGGUGGAUGCUCCUGUAGGAUCAAGGGCCAAUAGUGAUGUGGUUGUUGCUGUUGCUAUCACAGGCACAGGUGGGAUAGGCAAAACCACUCUUGCUAAGAUGGUCUUCGGUGAUAGUAGGGUGGAGGAAAACUUCAAGGAAAGGAUCUGGUUGAGCGUUAACCGUGAGUUCAAUGAGAUCAAUGUCCUACAAAGUCUUAUAGCUUCUUUUGGUGCCAAACAUGAAGGCUGUGCGGGAAACAAGGACCUACUUCAGCGUGCCCUGAAGGAUACAAUCCGGCAAAAGAAGAAGUUUUUGUUGGUGAUGGAUGAUGUGUGGAGCGAAAAUGUGUGGUAUAAGCUGCUUAGAGAGCCGCUCAAUCAUGGUGCUUCUGGCAGUCGAGUCUUGGUGACCACAAGAAAUGAUGGAGUUGCUCAUGGGAUGAAAGCUCAACAUCUCCAUCGAGUUGACAAGCUAACAACGGAAGAUGCUUGGAUUUUGCUAAAGAACCAGGUCAGUAAUAACUUUUAUUUAUUACAGUAAUUAUUUAUGCAGUAAUUUGAAUUUACAGUAACAACUUUUAUCUCUUCUUAAUUACUUUCUCUCCCUUGGAGUAAUGCACGAUAGCCCAUUGCUCAAUAUUUCUCUUGUCGCUCUUUUCCGAUCUGAUUACGCAAAGGACCAUGUAAUUUCACUACGAGCCUUUUAUCAUACUUUCAAAGCUCUUCGCUUAGCAAAACAUGUCUCAUGGUUAUAUUUAGUUGAACAUAUCCUAUUGACGUUGAGGGAUGUUUUGUUUAGGGCAACGAAUCGGGUAUCGUAGCCUAAGAGGGGGAGGGGGUGAUUUAGGCAACUUAAAAUCUUAACCUAUGGCUUCUGCUACUUUUGCAUCAAACAUAAACAAGAUCAUGCUGUCAAGAUGUGCAAUUAUGGUUGAUCUAGUGUGAACUCUUCAUCCUAAAAUAAGUUUUGCAACCUAGAGGCAUCCUAGCAAGAUACUACACUAAGAAAGUAAAGGCACACAAGUUGUAAGUAUGAAAUGCGGAAAUGUAAAGGAGGGGAUGAGGGGAAGCAAACUCUUGACACAAGAGUAUUGCUUUCCGGUCACCAAGUCUCUCCCUGGACACUCCUUGAUUUGCCACAAAGGCUCGGCUACUAAGGCUCACGCCAAAUUCACAGGCUACCUUGAUACCAUCUCCACAAAGGAGCUUCUCCACGAAAGAAGGGGGUCUCCACGUUCCCUGCACAUUGUCGUCGACGCCGCUCCACACCAAGCCGGAGGGUCAAAGACUUACCGGCGAACCACCAAGGCUCCAAGGUUUCAGCACACCUUGUACAGCUGUGGUUCACUCCUAGAAUCGAUCACAAGGCAAGCACACCUUGCAUUCUCUCUUCUCUAGGCCUAUCCUAGCACUAAACAUUCUUCUAAGCUUGCGCUAAACCUUUGAUUAAUCACUUAUGCACUUUUGGUGGUUUGGAUGUGUUCUUGACGAGUCUUGAUCUCCAAUGGAAUUCUGCACACUCCAGCUUCAUCCAACAACUCCAAAUGGGUGAGUGGCGGGGGGUAUAAAUAGCCCAAGAACUCAAAGAGCCGUUGCUCCAACGGCUAGUUAAAGUAUACCAUCGGAUGUUCCGAUGGUAUCAUUUGGGGUAGCAUCGGAACAUCCGGUUCUACCAGCCAUUGCCUCCCCGCGCUCAGAUUCUGCUCAAGUUCCUCACUGACGUAAUCCAUCGAUUGAUCCAGUGGUCCCUCUAGCACCCAUCGGAUCAUCCGGUGCAGUAGCUUCCUAUGCCAAAACGUCUUUGUUAGUUUCUAAAAUAAAUAUGCUUCGUCCGAUGCCCCUGCGACACAUAGCGUCGGAUCAUCCAGUGCCUCCUUCUUUCUUCUCUUUGCUCCGGCGAUUCAUCCGAUGGGUACAAAACUUAGGCCAUCGGAUCAUCUGAUGGUCCUGCUUUGACUUGGUCUCCACAUGGCGAACCAAAAGCUCUGAUGCUUGCACCGACACUUUUUCAACUGGCCAUCAAAGCAUCCGAUGGUCUCAAAAAUCUUCUUCACGCUUGUCACCAACUGAUUCGGUGGGCACCUUCUUCUUGUCACCGGAUGAAUCAGUGGCUAUAACAAUUCUUGUUUUUCUUUGAUUUCUUUGAUUCUUUGCUUGUCUUUGGUUGUGGUUGCUUCCUUAGGACCUAUAAUACCUUCAAGAUAUGUUCUCAAUGCUUUGUUAGUCCUAAUGACCAUGUUGUCACAUUAAUCACCGAAAUCACAAACAAAUGGCCUAUUCGGAGCCAUGUUUGCUACAUUUAGGCUAUCCCCAAUGAGGAUUUCAUAAGAGUUUCUUUUAAUGAUGUGACACAUCAACAAUUUUGAUGAUAUGACAUGCUAAUAAUCAUGAAGAGAGAGAGGGAAGGAGUUUCAUCCUGAUUAAACUGUGUAUACAUUGUUUCCAAGACUAUGAAACCUGAUGAAACUAGCAUUAGGGAUUAGAUAGUUUUAUUUCAUCUCAUAACAUCCAAUCACAUACCUCGCAAUUAAACGUUAUGUCCAGCCUAUAAAAUCGUGAAAUGAAACUCUCCAUUGGGAGAUCUUGUGUCAUACAUCCACUCAAACAUCUUUUGAUGACAUACCACUCCUGAAAACCGUAAUAUGAAAUUCCCCACUGGGAAUAGCUAUGGUUGCUCUAGAGUCUAGACUCUAUUGAAGUCACUUCAACUUUUUCCCAACACACAACCCCUGCACAAGUUAUGAUACAACAUAAAAUCCAUUGGGAGCUUUUCGAUUCUAACACCAUUUCCUCUCUCAAACUUGCUGCAUUUUUUCCAAUACUAGGUAGUUUUGAAUGAGAGUGAUGAUGUCGAUGAAUUGAAGAGUAUCGGGAUGGAAAUUGUUAAAAGAUGUGACUGCUUGCCAUUAGCAGUUAAGGUCCUUGGAGGACUCUUGCGCCGCAAAAGUAGAACAAGAGAUGCCUGGACGGAUGUUAGUAGCCACGGCACUUGGUCGACAAUAGGAAUCCAUGAAGAUAUUAAUAAAGCGGUCUAUUUGAGUUAUGAAGACUUGCCUUCACACUUGAAGCAAUGUUUUGUGUAUUGUUCGCUAAUCCCUCAAGAUUACUUGAUUUCAAGUCGAGUAAUAGUCCAGAUUUGGAUUGCAGCAGGUCAUGUACACAACAAGAUGAGCUGUAAGGCACCAGAAACGUUGGGGGAAGAAUACUACAAAGAAUUGGUUUCAAGAAAUCUUCUAGAACCAGAGAAAGGUUACUAUAGAAUAUCAGCAUGGAACAUGCACGACGUUGUCCGUUCCUUCGCUCAGUAUAUAAUUAAAGAUGAAGGGAUACUUAUUAGUGAUGGGCAGGAUGUCAAUAGAACUCUUAGCACUGCAAAGCUUCGGCACCUAUCUAUCUCAAACAAGGCAGUAAGGCAUGACACUUUGCAAACACAAGCCUUGCUUAGAACAUUAAUGUUAUUCGAAGGCAGCACCACUGUUGAGCUAAAGGAUAUGUUGAACAACCUUUCUUGCCUAAGAGUACUACAUCUGAUAGAUGUAGAUCUAGUUGAGCUGCCAGACUCCAUAUGCCACCUCAAACAUUUAAGAUCCUUGUAUCUUUCUGGCACAAGCAUAUCCACAAUUCCUCAAGGCAUAGGAGAUCUAAAAUUUCUACAAUCUAUUGACCUUGAUGGGUGUGCAAAUAUUCAUCAACUUCCUAACAGCAUCCUAAAGCUGCGGAAGCUAAGGUCACUCACCUUGAGCGACACGGCAAUCACUUCAGUUCCUCGUGGCUUGGGAAAACUAGAAGAUUUGGUCGACAUAAGGGGGUUUCCAACACAU
rnacentral:lncRNA from 1 species